rnacentral:lncRNA from 1 species
GUAUCUAUGAAGUCCUGACCUUCAGGCUUAUAGAAUCUUUUAAAAUCUCAUUACACCGAGAUCGACAAGAUUCUACUUGGGUUAUCAAAUCCAAAAGUAUUUCACUUUCAGGAAGUUGGACUUUAAGCUCCAACAUCUGAUACAGAGAAACAGAAACUUAAACACCCAAACAUAAAAGCAAUAAAGCAGCAAAUUAAAAAAUCUACCAAAAUCACCUGAGCCUGCAACUCAUAGAGGAUAUCUGCGUUAACUGCACCUGGCAAUUUCUCAUUGAAGCAUUUUCUGACACUUUCAACCCAAACCUGAAGAGCCUCAAUGGUAGCAAAAGAUAAGAAUCCAAAUGAAACAGAUAGACCAUAUAAACCAUGACAGGAAUGCAUAUAAAGAGGAAGAAAGCUUGCCAAAGAUACCAUAGCAUCUAGUCAAUCAAUAUGCGAUAAAAUACAUAAAUAUCCUAAUAUAAGGAAUUCCCACCCAUCUUGAGCAAGUCUCUCUAAUAUAACGUGACAGCAUAACCUAGAAAUAAUUAGAGGAAGUACCUUUACCGAAGACAUCCUCUGGAAUAAUUUCUCACUUUCUUUCACGUACAUAGGUGAGACACAGGUCUUGGAAUAUAAAAUCUCCCAAUCAGCUAUCUGAGGUGGGCAUUAGCAAACAUCAACUGGGGGAAAGGGAAAAUUAAAUGAAAUGAAACAGAUUACAACUUGAAAUAAAGCAAAGGAAAACCAGCCAAGCAAUAGAGUCAUCAAAGCUGCAGUAGUACCGCCCACCAAAUAUAUGUUGUCAUAAGCACAAUUUAACAACCAAAAGUGGAGGCAUUAAUUUCGAAGAGCAUACUUACAGAAACUUUUCCACACAUAGGGAGAGCACAAUCAAUUUCUUCAAUCAGCUUCGCAGCUUCUUGUUGGUACUCCUACACACAAAAUGGCGAAAAAUGAUAAAAGGGAGAUAGAGAUCAUAAAUGAAGACCUGCCACGCGCGCGCGUGCGGGCGGGGGUGGUGGUCAUCGAGUUGAACCUUAAGUUUAAGAUGGCAAGGCUCAUUGCAUGGCACAGGAUCUACAGACAGCAACUUGUUAACAUGAUCCAUCUGUACCCUCCCUGUACCUUGAUGGCAAUCAUGUGACCAGGAUUCCAAUUUAGAAAGGCUAUCUCUUACAUCUUGUGCCCAGUUCUGAGCUUCAAUCAAGUUCUUUACUGUGUCUCGGACCUAUACCACAAGGAAUAUAUAAUUUCUUGAGUACAGAAAUGAGUUUUUGAAUUAGCACAAAGUGUAGGUUUGAAAAUUGAAACUCACAGGGUCCAUUUCAGAACCAGCCCAAAGGAAUUGUUCGGCUUCUUUUAUUGCACUGGCAUAAGAAUCAGCAGAGUAUGGUCUCUGAAGAAUCUUGCAGGACUUUGACAGCCAUCUUUCAGCAAGUUGAACGUGUGUGAUACAUCCCCCUUUAAUCUACAAGGGAUGAAGUCAUUUCAGCUAGAAAACAAUGCCAAUAAACUUGACAGAUUGUUAUGCCAAAGAAAAGAAAGGAAAAAACAAGGACUUCAUUGUCUUUUACUCAUGAAAAGUAAAAGAAAAUGCAUUCCAAACCUUCUUUGAUAAAGCAACUGACUCAUUAGAAGAAGAAAGUUGCCCUUGCAAGCUUCUGUCUUGAUCCCCAGAACUGAGUUUAUCAGUCAUAAGCACCAGAGCCUUCAAAUCUGCCAAAGUAUGACGAUAAAGGAGACGGUGCUUGCUAGCCUUACAUUCACAAAGAUGUUCCCAGUGCUGCAUCAUAUGAAAGAAACAAUAAGCAACUAUUGGGAUGGUGGAUAGCUGAAAGUUCUAGCAUUUUGUUAACCAGCCAAUUCAAGGAGAACAUACUUCCAAAAGGUUGAAAAUGACUUGAAGUGUAUAAUUUACAAGCCAUAAUAUCCUUCAAUUUUGGAAAUGAAAUAAUUGGAUGACAAAAGCAGUAUAAAGUCAAAAGGUAGAAGAUAAAAGCAAUAAAAUAAAAAUCUGAACAUGGGCACGAUAUUGAACCAUAACUGCAAUAGUAGUGAACCUCAGAGUUUGUAUUGCACAAACAAACAACAAUGAUACCUAUAUCUUUCCAAGCAGCUAACUUGGGCUGAGGGCCUAAGAGUCUUACAAAAAUCUGUUAACUGACAGAAAAAGACUACACAGAUAUACAGCCCAAACCUUUAUGUUGCAGAAGCUUGAUGUAAAAAUCUUAGUUUUUCAUUGAUGGAGAGCAAUUUAAAAACUUGUAAUAACAAAACAACAAAUGAAAAUGGGUAAAUAAUUAAUGCCUGAGUCUUUCAAGAUUCCUUACCUCUAGACAAACAAAAGCUGAUGGUCUACAGCGGCAAACAACAGCAGAAAGAUAUAGAAAUUGUUGACAUAUGAUGCAUGUUGGAUCCUUCAAGCAUUAUGUCAUACUGAUCAGAAAUGAUGUUCCUCAAACCAUAAUACUGCAGCUUAUUAAAGCUCCAUGAACAAGAUACAAGUUACAGAGAUACCUCUUCGCUACCAACAUGUUCAGGACGCUUACGAGGUGACAUGGUAGAAGAACGAAGAAUCCCAUUUUUCCAAAGCUGCUCCCUCCAGACCUUUUCAUUCUCAUAUACCCUUAUCAAUUCCUUUCUCAAGCAGACUGAUGCUCUGCUAUCAAAGUUGCUCUGCAAGAAAGAUGGAUUCCAACUAUAAAACCAGAAUAGCAUGGAACAAGGACAGAAAAACAAACGACGAACAAGUGAAAGCCAGAAUGAUGAAGAUUACAGAUCUAUUCACAUGAGUAGCUCAAUAAAACAAAAGACUAGAAGCAAGGAAUACAGUUUUUGUUUGGCAAGUUAAAUUUGUCACAAGUAACAGUGGAUACCGAAGCUAUGAACCACUCGCCAAUAUCACAGAAUGUUCCAGAGAAUAUGCUAACCAUUAACUUCAUUCUUUAUAUCACUAAAUUAGUGAGUAUGAACUUGUUUCUAAACAAAGGCAUAAUUUAUCAAAAUGACAUUUUCAGAAACAAAAUUAGCUCAUGUGGAUACUAAUGGAGAACAAUAAAUAAGCAUGCAUAGCAGAUGUUUCUUCUAUUCAAUCCCACGUGCCAGCUCUUCCAGAGUUAAAAAGAGACCACGCCAAUUGGGGGAAUGACCACACAUAAGGCCCCACAAAAAUGAAACGAAGGUUCCGUUUGAUAAAACUGAAUCUGAAUUCUAAAAUAUGAAUACUGAAACAAUUAAUUUGCUAAAUUUUAAGCAUUGAAAAGAAAUAUAUGAAUGCCUGAAUUUUAAUGCUAAACCUAUUUAUACUGUUUGAUAAACAUUUAUAACUGAAUGCUUAAUAAGUUAAUAGAUAGAUUUUCAUUUAUCAAAUACUCAAAAUGUCUGAAUGUCUGAAAAAGUUCAGUUUCAGCACUUUUUUAUGUUAUCAAACAGACCGUAAAUGGCAAAAUAAAAAAAGAAUCUUAGGAAACUAAAUAGCAAAAAAGAUGCUCAUCAACUUUUAGAAAUAUUUCUUCCAACUAUCAGUUGAAAGUUCUUAUGAAUCAAGUUACACAGAAUUAACUGCAAAAACAAAAUUUAGCUGCUAAUAAAGCCCGAGCUAGAACUUUAUAUAAGCCUCUUCCAAUAUGAAAAGCAGCAACACUAAAUUCACCAUAGAAUGACUCAAUUAAAAAUGAUAACCACCUAAAAGCUCAAAACAAAUGAAACAAGGGAAAUAUCACAUUCUCACAACUAAAGGCUUUCUGAAUACUAUAAAGUAAGACAAUCUAAAGAUGACUUCAUGGAUCAAACUGCAUGCUUGGAGUUUAAUUCUCCACCUUCUAAGUUAAGACCAUAAACUACUGUGCCUAAUGGAGGGGGCCGGAAAAAAGGAGAAGAAGUGGACCUUUGCUACCACACAUAGGAGUUCCUCAUGGGAUAAUACAGCAGGUUUGCGAUAAAGUUUGUAUAGUUCUGCUCCACGACCUCCAUAAGGCAGCCAGUCAGCAGGAGCAAAGUUGACUGCCUCAGCACAAUUUAGUCCUGUUCAUUCAAAGUUAAUCAAAAAUUAACCGACGAGGUCAUCUACAAUCAUGCAACUAGAUGACCGAGACCUCCAUUGAAUCAAAAGUUAACCACAUUUCUGCUUACCCAGGUUGAAGCCUCCAUGAUAAGAUCUAGGGAAGGUAAUGAUAAAGUUUCCAGGCUCCUAAAGAAAAGCAAUUACAAAAAUUAGUAUUUCAAAUAUACCUUCAACAGAAGAAGCGGAAUACCACUUACACCAUUUACAGCACUAUAAUGAGUUAUUACUUUGCAAGCAAAGUGAAAGUUAUGACAAUAAGGGCAUGUUCCAAAAGAGAGAGAGAGAUGAAAGACUUCACCAAGAUUUCAAUUAUUUAUUGAUUACUUUCAAAGACAAAAGAACAAAUCAUGCAUAGUCUUUCUUUUAUGAAUUAUAUGUUGGGGAUGGCAAUCCUGCAUAUUUGAAUUGCUCAACUCCAAUAUAACAAAUUCCACAUUUUGUGUUCUGGAAAAGGACUUCGCCAAGCUCUAGCAACAAGGACCUUUGCUUGGCUGUAAAAGAAGCAAAAAUGGGAUAAGGAAAGAGUUUUUAUCCUGUGUUUCCACAUGCAUAAUAGCAACAAAUCACAAUUUUAGCAUACAUGAGCAAUACAGAAUUAUCUUGAGAAUAUCCUGUAUUUCCGCAAGUACAAUUACAUUAAAUCACAACUUUUAAUAUACAUGAACAUUACAGAAUUAUCUUAACAAGAGCAAAUUACAUUUUUUGUUUACUAUUACUCUUCAAACUCUAAAUUUUAGCUUCCAGCCUCUCAAGAUGUAUAACUGAAAGACGAAAACCUUUAAAAGAGUUCAGAGUACCAUGCAUCUCAAAUCCAUCCAUCACGGUAACAGAAUAUGCAAUGCAUAACUGUGUUGACAAUGUAGAACAUCACCUGAAGCACACUGUAAACAGGAACACCACUUUCUUGCAAGACACUAGGAUUCAGCAUGGUUACAAGCUGGAACAACAAAUCUGGUUGUGCAUCAAACAGAUCAGGAAGACUGUUUUUCAUCACCUACAGAAAGAUGAAAAUUACUUCUACAAGCAUGCACUUGACAAAAAGGAAUAAAAAGCCAAAAGCAAAAAGAACUGCUAAUUCAAGUACCAAUGAAAACUUUGUAACACACAUUUGAGGGAUAGAAAAACCAAGGUAAAGCACCAAAAGCAUAAUUCCUUACAGCCAAACACUUUCUUAUCCACAUUCUGAUUCAUUAAAAAAUUCAAUUAAAAGUACGUGAUCGCCUUAUUUUCGUAUUUUUUCUCCUUGCAGGGUGAGAGUGGGAACCAAGUUACAUAAUUCAAAAAGUAAGCAGCAUAACCUUAAAAAUCACAAAUGCACUUGAGCAUAGCAACUGAAGACAAGUUACCAGAAAAAGUAUAGCAAGCUCUAAAAUGCUUAGAUAAAUCAGAGCUUGGUAUAGGAACAGAUAUUUAGAUCCAACAACCAGAAAAAUCACACAUCUAAUCCCAUAGAAAGUUGAUAAACGUAGAGGAAAUAACUCAGUCUGCAACCCAUUAUAACAUUAGUGAAAGAUGCAUUUACAAGCCCAUAAGUACUUAUGACAUCUAUAAUUCAAGACAUAUAGGAUUUCAACAACUUCUCAGUCCUGCUUUUAGGAAGAAGAGGCAUAAACGCAGGCUGAGGUCCUAGACACUGAGAGCCGAAAUACAUUGCGGAGCAGUAGCAAUCAUCCAUCUAUCUACAACAAUCAAUAUUUUACAUGAUUUUUUAUGCAUGUUAAUUUCACCCAUUGAAAACAUGACUUUCAAGGAACCACUAGUAAAUAUGAAAGAGAGCUAACAAGGCAGAGAAGAAGAGCAAAUGACUCUAGUGUCAUGUCCAGAAUCCAUUGCAGCAAAACAAGAAUGGCACCGAGCGUUGUCUAACAGGAGCUACAAUUUUCUAAUUCUAAAUACAUAAAACUAAUCUAACUUCAGAGAAGCAGCAAAAUCAAAAAGAAUGUAUCCAUUAAAGUACCUUUUCAAAAGCACAGGCUUCACUGCCAGGGACACUGUACCAACAUUUUGGCUCUCCCCUAAACAAAAUGAGCAGCAGUGAGUACGAAUUUAAUUCACAAACUUAAGAUCAAGCUUAUCAAGGUCAAACAAGGCUUGUUACUCUUCGCAAGCAACUAAGAUCUAAUUCAAACAACUAAUCUCUUCAGAAAAAGGGGCUCACAAGAUUUGAGAAUGAAAGAUAUUCAAGCAAAAUUCAUUUAAACAUUGAAAGUUCACCCAGGCUCAGUUUAAAUACAGCUCUACAUGAAAGGACACAAACUCAUAAAAAAGAGUAAAAAAGAAACAGGAGUUCACAAAAUUUGAAUGUAAAAUCCAACUUUUUUGCAUAAAAACCACAGCUACAUUGCAGGAAGAUGACGUGGUCAUUUAAGUUAAGAUUGCAAUUUGUCAUUGAAGGCUGUGAUCUUUCAAAAGAACAAAAUAGUUGAGGAACCAAAAAAAAUAACACGAAAGAUUUUCAAAAGCUUGAAAGCAAAGGUAUAUCUUGCUUGCAUCCAGAUUUCAGAGUCCAGAGCAGCUAAAUGGAAUGAUUUAACAAAUUUUACCUCAUCUCAACACAGACAUAACAUGAGUAGCAGAAAUUUUUUAAAAAGUUUUGCAUUUGCAGAAGCUUGAAAGCAAAGGUAUAUCUUGCUUGAACUGGAUUUCAAAGUCCAAAAUCCAGCUAAAUGGAAUGAUUUAACAGAAAAUUUCCCCCAUCUCAAUACAGAUAUAACAUGAGUAGCAGAAAUUUUUUAAAAAGUUCUGCAUUUACGUCACAAAGUAAUCAGCCAGUGCUACAACCCAAUAAUCAUCUAAACUUACAUUCAAGCCAAUAAACAUCUAAAUUUACACAAGACGAGAAUGGUGCCCAAAAUUAGAAGGAUGUGUACCAGUGAAGAUAAUUCAUCGAGUAAAAGCAGUGGUCCUCAAAAUGCCAGCAGAAUGAUGAGAAUAGCAUCCCAAUAUACAGCCAGGGUACCAUGACCCCAGCAAUUCCAUGAUGCACUGCUUGAAGCAUUGAACCAGGUAGCUUCGGUAAGUUAUUAAGAUUCCAUGGGCUAGCACAGUACUCAUCCCACACUUCAGCCUCAACUGAUGAUGGUCUUUGGUCAGCUACACGUGGAAAUCCACUCCCGUAUACGGAAGUAUCCAAGUCACUGCCAUACAUUACUUCCACCUCACCAACUGAUCCCUCUACAAUCUCCCAAAACUUCUUCUCCAAUUGUACCCGUGACGUAGGUGUUGAUCCAAACCAUUUCUUCUUCGCUCGCUCGGCCACACGCCUAAAAGCUUCCAGGGAAAACUCUUUACCAGGAACAAAUCCAAAGCUCUCCUUUUCAGAAUUCAAGCACUCCAAGCAGUACCAAUUACCCAAAGGCACUUGCUUCAGAGGUGGAGAUAAGCAAUAUAUGUGCCAACCCUUAUUACACCUAUCACACAAAAGCAUUACUUCCCCAUGCAACCCACUUCUACAUUGCUCACAUAUUUGAUCAAACUCUUCCUUUUCUUGCUUGCGAACUUCAACUUUCUCACCCUCACUAUUCUUCCGCAUUCGCUUAAAACUCGAAACCUUAAUUUCCCGACCUCUUUUUCUACCCCCUUGCAAUCCUCUUUUACAAGUCUUCUCUUUUCCUUUAUUAAUAUUGCAAUAAUACUCUUCAUACUCACAUAAAUGCUCCAAAUACAAUUGACUCAACACAUGCUUGGCGCAGUCUGUGAUCUUCCCAUUAGGGCGCACAAACCUGAAAACCUCCCCCCAUUUUUUAUUCUUCACAACCUUGUCAUACCCUCCAAAUCUUUUAACAGCAUUAAACAAUUUACACAAAUCCAAAUCACCACCUUCAAAGACAACCCUUUUUUUUGCUUUCCUACUGCAAUGCUCCCCCAAAAACCUAUUGUAUUCCAACUUAAAAGUCUUUGGAUCACAUGAGGAACAUCGCGCCUGUAACUUGUGAAUUUCCUGUGUUUUUGUGGGGAAUGUAAAUGAAUCUAAAUCCAAACCAAAAGGAGGUUUCCAGCACUUAGGCGGAACGAUCUUACAAAUCCCAUAUUGCUCAGCCUCAGGCCUGAUCUUAUCAAUAAACUCUAAAGGGUCCCUAAAUUCAUCCUCAGUUGGAUAAUACACUGGCCCUGCUGGGACAUUCAAUGAACCGCUGGAUAAAACACAAGUACUUGGCCCCAAAACAACCUUUUCUACAGCCCUUGGCCUCCCUUUCCCCAUCAAUAAUUCAAUCUCUCAUCUCAAACCAUAAAUAAAUCCCACUACAAUAACAAAUUUGAAUUCACAUUAAUAUCUGGACCAAAAAAUGUGUGUCCUCCAAGGGGGAAAAAAACAUGCAUGGAUUAACAGCUUUCAACUAAAAACAUGUUAUAUGAACUGAAAAAAAAAAUUAAAGGGUCUUAAACAUACCUUCUUUCGGAGAAAAUAUGAUUAAAUGAACGAUUAAUAGCUCUGAGAAGUAACUUCUCUCUCCCUUUUUUUUAUCUUUUCUUUCCUUCUUUUUUUAUUUGGAAGUUUUAAAGUGAGAGAGGGUGUGUUUCUCUCAAUCCUUGAGACUUUAGCAAGUUCGUUUUCUUUUUAGGUUACGGUGCAAGAAAACUGGCGCAAUCGUGAAUGUCUUGCGACUGAAAUUUGAGGAUAUUUACGAAAAUGUCUACAGGGAUCUUUCUAUCAGAUUCUCCUUGUUCUCAAUAGAACCGCGUGAGUCGCACGUGAACACGUCAACGGUUGUGAUGGAGCCGUGUUCGGUGACUUGAUAAAAGAGAGCGUGAGAGUGUUUCGGAAUGUGCUGAUUACUCGUUAUGAAACCGUCUGAGGUUUUCAACGAACCCAUCGGUGGUUUCGGGGACGCAUCACCAGUAAAAGUACAUCGGAUUGACGGUCAGGAUUUUUAGUCAAGUCAAGAUUUCUGUGCAUCACUCUCUAUUUUUUCUUUUUAUUUUUCUUUUUUUCCUGUUUGGAUCUUUUUUUUUUUUUAUUUUUUGGUGUGUGAGUGUGUACAGAUGGCAAAGGUAUUGAAGUGAUAAAAGAAGGUGCUAAAUAUUGGUCAAUGACUUAGAGAGGCUUUGGCAGCAUGCCGGUAUAUAAUGUGAAGUUUCACUUGAAAAGUUUUGGUUGGAUUAGGAAUCCUUUUUGCUGCCAUUUGUUGCAAAUGUUAGAGCAGGCCUUACUAUCUUUAGAAGGGAACAAUAAUAAUAAUAAUUAGUCCUUGCCUAUAUUUUGAGUGUAUAUCGAUCACUAGUAGUAUCAGUAUAAUCUCUUGAGUGUGAUGCUUUUAUUUCUCACAAUGCAUUUCAUAUUCUCUUUUAAUCUCACCGACUUCCACGAUCAAGUUUGUGACCUAAAAAUAUGGCAUUGUUGUGCCAUCUAAGAUUGAAAAAAUAUGAUCAAUUAAAGCUCAAUCGACAAGUCCGCUAAAGGCUGUGCAAGCUAUUACCUUUUAUAUAUUAAAAAAAAGGAGUUAAAAUGUGAAGAUAGUUGGAGGGGAGAUCAAUUUGAAACUAUUGAGAUCAAUGAUUGUACGAGGAAAUAAUUUUCUCUUUCUAUAUUUAUCCAAUUACAAGUUUUUAAAAAUAUAACUGAAGUUGGAGAAGAUGAAAAUUUACCAAAGGGACCUUUGGUCUAAGUUUAGGAAUUGGAAUUACAAUUGCAAUUGGAAUCACGUCCAAAAAUUUAAUAUGGGUUUUGAUUUAGAGUAUCACUACAAUCACUAGUGUUUGGUAUAUAAGGUUUUGAAAUUAACUUGUUUUUUUUUUUCCUUCUUUCCCUUUUCUUGCUUCUUUCCAACCCUUAAGUACUCAUGCUUUACCAAAAUCUCUUGAACCUCCACCUGACCAUCACCAAUCAACCUUACAAUCUGUAGAGCAUGGGAGAGCAACUAACAAAAGAUGAGAGAAAGGUUUGCACAAUAAGGGGAAAAAAUAGAGGAGAGAUAACUAGAUGGAGAGGAGGGACUGCCAUGGAGUAUUAGAGGAGAGAGGAAGAUAGUGAAAAGAGAAAAAAAGGGAAAAUGAAAGAAAGAUUGACAAGAAAUGAGAGAAAAAAUCAUAUGAGGCGGGGCUGCUGCCAUGGAGGAUUGAAGGGGAGAGUAAAGCGAGAAGAAAACGAGAAAAAGAUGAUAAUGAAAAUCUAUUCUGAAAAAUAGGAUAAAAGAUGAAAAAGAAAAUCUGAUUGUAAGAUGCUACCAUAGAGGUUGGGCUGAUAAAGCGGUAAAAACAAAUAUGUUUUCUUUUCCUUUUUGAUGUCCUCCAGUUAAAUUGAAACAAAUUUGAGAAUCCACCAAAACCCUUCAAUUUGUUAGGAAUUGAAAAUCUCUAAAUUUUAAUGAUUCACUCCACUAUGCUAAAUCCAAUACAUAUAAUCCAAACAAUAAGAAUUAGAAUUAUUUCAAUUCCUCAUUCCGAUCCCCUUCUACCAAAUGGCACUCGUGUGGUUCAUAGGUCUGUUUUAAGUUCGAAGGUUUUCUUUCCCUUAACAAUUAUCAUGAACUAUAAGAAUAGUUCAUUAAGUGCUAGCAAGUCGUCAAAGUUCUGCUGGAGUCAUUGCGCAUCUAAUAAUCCGUAAGGAUCAAAUUGAAGCAUAUGAAGGUUUCAUAAAUAGAAUUAGAGUUUCCUUUAAAAUAUAUAUAUAUAUAUAUAUAUAUAUAUAUGUUGGAUAAUAGUUCAACAAAUUGUCCUAAUUUCUCAUGUAAUGAACAGUAACAGUAACACAACCGCCUUUAUAAAAGCAACCAAAAAAGGAAGUUGUUAUCAAUUUGGAUUCACCGUUGACUCUAGUGAUAGCGUUGUGGACUUGUGACUAUUUUUCAAUCGGAUAAUGCACGUAAUUGUAUCUCACAGGCUUUGUAACCUUUGAAGCAUUUACGUUGGUUCGACAUGCUUCUUCAGUCACACAGCAAUAGCUUCGUGCGAGGCUAAAGGCCAAGACUAGUUAUGGGUUAAUUUCAUUUAUCUCCCAUUAUUUGUCCAAUUACAAGUUUGUCACUGUGAAUUUAUCCAAGUCACACUAACUCCCUCGUAAGUUAUGAUGGGAUUCGUGAGUUUUUGUAAUGUUCUCGAUUGCUCUUGUAUUCUAAUUAUAGAGCUUUUAGCUAAAAUCUAUAAUCAUGCAAAGAACAGCUUUUGUUGAUCUAAUUAUUCGUCAUAAUCAGUUUUGAUAAUCAAAUUUUUGUAAAAUCUAAAGCAACUAGAACAAGACCGACAAUGAUACUAAAAAUGGUGGAAAGUUGGCCUCUUGCUGUGUAACCUAAUUGUAGCUGACCAAAUUGCAAUCUAAGCCUUUAGAUAGCCAAAUAUUUAUCACCCCCCCCCCCCAAAUAUCAUUUGAAUUAAAAAGUUAAACUAAAAUGGAAGACAAGUGCUUGGUACCUAAAAGUGAAAAAAAAAAUAGAGUGAAAAAGUUAAGAAAACCCUCUUUAGCCCUCAUAUUUUCCUUAAUGUGCUUUAUAGCUCACACUUCAAGUGCUACAUCAUUCUCCAACCUGUUUUUUCUUUACAUCCAUCGACUAUCCAUUAGAACUAGAUAUAGUACUGACUAUUAAACAAGAAGAACUAAGUGAAAUUUUGUAGCGGUUAAAAAAAAAAAAUCAUGAAUAUAAAGUGCAAAUCUUUUGCAUAGAAACAUUGCAUUUGAUGGGCAUGUAAUGCAACCAAGAAUUCGGAUACCAUCAAGUUUUCUACAAUAAAAAUGUUACCAUUCAUACCAGCUAUACAGUAGUGGUGAUUGAGCAAAAGGCCCCAUAAUUGGGGUUUUUGUUACAUUGGCUAUAAUAUAUAGGGCGGAUGUGAAAAAAAAAAUAUAGGGUGAAAAAACAAUGGCAAGGGAAAAGGUCUAAUGAUUAAUAGUUUCAACAAAACAAGUUAAUUUACUUACUUCAAUUUAAGUAAUAGUUAACAACAAUUAACUAAUGGGAGGGGAUCUUCGAAUAUGAUUAGCUAGUGAAAAGGUUCAAUUAUCAUUAAGACAAUAUAGAAGGUCUGUUCUAUAAUUUGGACAAUCUUAGGAGAGGUAAAUGCGAUUAACCCAAACUACAAGAGACCAGUUUUGGGUUUUAAAACAUGUCCUUGCCAUACAAGGGGCAUUUCUAACGUCAACUAUGGGCUCCUCGAUAAAGGUUUUGGUAUUCAAAAGGAUUUGAGUCUAAUUUGGGGUAUACAGGUCUCCCUUAGUUAUUGAAUCACCUGAUAGAAAAAUUCAGAUUAUUUAGUCUCUAAACAUACAAUUUCAGGAUCAUCAAGGAUUUAACAUAAAUUGGAAAAGCAUAGUAGGGUCUAUAAUAACUAUUUGGUUACUAAACUUUUUUUUUUGUCUAAUAUUAUUUCACUUGCAUCAAAAACACGUUUUCUAUCUUUUUAUAGUCAUAACCACCAUUUUAUCUCAUACAUAUUAUAUCACAAGAAAAUAUUUUUUCCAAAUAAUCUCCCGUUCUCCACUGAACCGAUUCAUUUAUGGAUUUCUAAUAAGCAAAACCAGCUGCACUUAGAAAAGGAGAUAAAAUCAUCUAAUGGGCUUUAUGCCAUAUAAUGUAGAAGUGCAAACGAGUCGAGUUUAAUCCAAUAACUCGCAAGGUUGCUCGGUUAAAAUUGGAGUUCAAACUCGUGUUGACUGAGUUUGAGUUUGAGUUCAAGUAGUUUAAACUAUUUGAUAAGUCGAGCUCGAUUUUAAUAUAUGAAAAUCGAAAAUUCGUCGAUCUUAAUCGAGUUGCAUAUAUAUGUUUUUGUUUGAAUUUUUUUAUUUAUUAGUAUGAAAUGUUUAUUUUGUACCAUGUUUAAAAUUAUAUAGAUAAUAUAAAUUUAUAUUUUCUAAACUUGAUUAGACUUGAUUAAACUCGAUUGAACUUAAAAUAAAGUCGAUUAGGUUUGAUAAGUACAAACUCGAACUCGAACUCAAGUAAUGCAAAAUAAAAUUAACCUUAAACUCAACAUUCAAGAGUUCGGCGAGAUCAAGAUCUAAGUCCAAGUUUUUGCUCAAGUAAUGCAGUACUCCGGGUAGACUCAAUUUGAUUAUACCCCAACUCCACUGAACCAAAAAAAAAUGAAUUAAAAACGGAAAAGAGAAGAAAUCAAGAAAAAGAUUUCACUGUUUUCACCACUAAAAGUGGACAGUAAAUCAUUUUGAAGUGGGAAACACCGAUCGACUUCUUUCACAUAUGUAACCAGUAAAAAAGAAUCCCCGGGUAAAAAUCUAAAACUGUACGAACUCCAGUCUUCAUUCCUUAGACCAAGUUGACAAAUUAAAAAGAUAAAAAAUUUACUCCCAUCAUCAAACAAUUAUAAUAUUUUAAAAUUAGUUUUUGUACCCAUUAGAUGAGCAAUCGAUCAUGGGCAUUUUAUAAUUCCACCACUUCUACUACUUAUGUCCCCCCCAGAAUUAAAAUUAAAAAUUGUUUUAUGUCGGUGGAAAUUCUUAAAAAUUAAAAAGAAAAAAGAAGGGGAAAAAAACCCAAAAACCAAUUGGCAUACACACUGCUACUACUACACUAAAUGAGAUCUACACUUUGAAUAUCCAAAUCGAGCUCUUUUCAUACUUAGCUAAAAGGCACACUGUUAUGCAAAGAACCCUUUUCUUUGUUCCCAUUUCACCACCAGAAUUUGUGCAUAUAUAGAUAUAGGUAUAUAUAUAUAUGCACAAAAAGUUAUAUAAGCAAUUCAGGGAAAGAAGAGAAUCAAAGGGUUGUCUUGAUUUUAGUUUCUUGACCUAUUUCAGCAAGGUAAAGAACCCUUUUUUUUUUAAUUUUUUGGAAAGUUCAAGGUUUUGCAUAUGUUGGUAUGUAUGUGUAUAUGAUUUUGUAAAUGAGGUAAUUUUGUGAAAACUGUUGAGGGUUUUCGAUUGUGGUUUGGUCUCGGUGGUUUUAUGUUGGAUUCAGGUUGUUGGGGUUUGAAUUGGUUUGUUUGUUGACUAAAGGUGGACAAAAGGGGGAUUCUAUUUUUGGCUUUGUGGAGCUGUUUUAAUUGAAGAGGAAGCUGAAAAAUUGGAACUUCGGGAUCCAGAAUGAGGAUCUUUAGUCUAUCUGAGUUGACUUGCUUGUAAAAGGUGAUAUGUUUGUGUCCAAGUAUAAUGGGGUUGAUUUGUUUCAAUCAUGCGCUGAGCUUGUAGGAUUUGACUGUGAGCAUGUACAGGUUAUUAUACAUUGGGUAUUUGCUGUCAUGUACGUCUGCAUUUGGCGGUUUGUAAUUAAAUUCUUUUCAUUGAUUGGUAGUGUCUCAGAGAAAGAAAUGUAUUGAGUGUCUUUGAGUUGAGCACGUGCGCUUUGUGAAAUAUAUGUUUAAUUUUCAAGCAUUUCGUGAGAUUUCAGGGAAGGUGCUGAGUGUUUUAUUGAUUUUGACUAUUGUUUGUAUCAUCCCUGCAGUGUAUGCUUUGCCUGCUCGAGUCGAUAGUAAGAGUAUUAGAAGUUUUUCAAUGUGUAAAUUGUUGUUUAUUGUGGAAAGUUUUCAAACGUAAUGGUAUCUGUGAAUACAGUUUAUUGAAGGAUAUCAAUCCAAAGAUGUUUUGCAUAUUUGAAUUAUUUGGGCUUGUCUUCUAGGAAGAUUGUAACUGUUGCUAAUUUGGUAUGUGAAGCCGGAUGGAAAAUUUAUGAUCUUAAGGAGGUACACGUUUUUGGCGUUUCUUGAGGCCUUAAGGUGUGCAUCUGAGAAGCGAGUUUUGGGAUGGGUUGUGAAUGUUCCAAACCCAGCUGUUGUUGGACUGCAGAACAAUAUGGUCCAGGACAUGAGGCCCUAAAUGCUGGUAUUCUAGAUUUGCUGAUAUUUUUUUGAUGGUGGUGUUUUUGGUACUAAAAGAGUGAAAUUUGAGUUCUUCCAUAACUUCGUAUUUCCCUUGGCACAGAAAAUGAGGAGAAAAGUGAAGUUAGUGAUCUGCCCGUUUUUCGUGAAUUCACUAUUGAACAACUGAAGAUAGUCACAUCAGGAUUUGCUGUAGAGAACAUAGUUUCAGAACAUGGAGAGAAAGCACCCAAUGUUGUUUACAGAGGGAAGCUAGAAAAUCAGAGACGGAUUGCAGUCAAACGCUUUAACAGAUCUGCUUGGCCUGAUUCCCGUCAGUUCUUGGUGGGUGGCAUUUAUUUUAGAUAUUUGAACCACUUUGUGCUUUCCAUCUUUGUGAAAGCAAGAAUGACUGUUCAUUUAUGUUGCCUAAUUUGGAUUCGUGCUUUUAUGUGUAUUUCUGGCUCCUCCAUGGUUAUUGGCUGACAUAUAUGCAACUCAUUCUUUGGUUGAAACAAUCAGUACUGGAUGCUGACGCAGGAUGAAUCCUUGAUCAUAUGUGGCGGACAUUUAUUUCUUAGCUUGCUUUCUGUUCUUUUCAUUAUGUAACAGUUUUAAACUAAUUUUCAUGCUUGUAUUUCAUUUCACCUUAGUUUGAUUGCGACUAUUGCAUCUGUACUUUUUCAUUCCAAUAGUAACAUUUUUGUCAUGAGAGCUUAAACAUUGCUUCUUUUGCAAUUAAACUUCAGGAAGAAGCAAGAGCUGUUGGUCAACUCAGGAACCAUAGAUUAGCAAAUCUACUAGGCUGUUGCUAUGAAGGUGAUGAAAGGUUACUUGUAGCAGAAUUUAUGCCCAAUGAGACACUUGCAAAACAUCUUUUCCAUUGUAAGUUACUUUUGUAUUUAUGCAUUCUGGAUUUGGUAUCAGCAUUUAGUUGAAAACUCUCGUUGUUGGUCUAAAUUGCACUCUUCUAUGGGCAAUCAUAUAGCAAUCACAAUUUUGUACUCACCAACCAUUGCAAUUGUAUAAUUUGUACCUUGUCUGGAUGCAUGCAUUCUGAUUAUUAAAAGCUCUAGAUGUUAUAGUAAGCAACCAUGAUCUCUGUACAUGUAAUGUGGACGGACUUCAAUUUUUUUCGUGCUAAUAUUUUCCUCUCCAAGAUGGUAUCUGUUUUGCAUGUGUUAUUGUGCUAAAGACCAUUUUUUUUUCUGCUUCCAAAGUUCCUAGACCUAGCCUUAAAUGAAUGAAUCUUUUGACAAGUGGAACAAAAUUUUGAUGAUUUACAUUUUGGUUUUGUUUUCAUUGCAUUUGCUCAAUGUGGUGAUUUAGAAUUUAAUAAUUACAUGUUAGAUUGGUUUUUCGCAGCUUUCAAUGGUCCUAAAACCUUGUCGUGUCUUUGAUUUUUUCACACAUCUGAUCUACAAUUACAAUUUGCUUGCGUGCCUAUGUCUUUGAAGAAAUUCACUCUUAGUUACUUAUUUUAAUCUUCUUUCUGUAAUAUCAAGAAAAGUAUAAUAGUCUUUGUGAAGUUGCAUCAAGUUUUUAAUCCUUUAGUUGUCUGAGCAAGCUUUGGUUGCUUCUUGACUUAGGGGAAGCGCAACCAAUGAAGUGGGCAAUGCGGUUAAGGGUGGCUCUGUUUGUAGCACAAGCUUUAGAAUAUUGUACGAGUAAAGGACGGGCACUUUAUCAUGACCUCAAUGCUUAUAGAAUAGUCUUUGAUGAUGUAAGUAUAUGGUAUACUUGCAGCACAUUAUUAUUUUGUCUUGUCCACAUUUUAGGAAGCAUUUUCUUAAUCAGCUAAUUGUCAUGUUGAUUUCCUGGUUCUUAAUAUAUAAUUCUGUAUUUCAGGAUGGUAAUCCCCGCUUGUCAUGCUUUGGUUUAAUGAAGAACAGCAGGGAUGGAAAAAGCUACAGCACAAACCUGGCAUUUACUCCUCCAGAGUACCUUCGGACUGGUAAAAUUUUGAUUGCAAUUGUCAUAAAUGGACAAACUUAUUUUAGAUGGUAAAUGAAAUGUAUAUCAACUCAAUACCACAGGACUGUUAUUGAACAUCUCUUCUUGGCCUUCCACUUCGCAUUAGAAUAAAUUAUGACUUUUUUUUCCAAAAAAUUGCUGGUAGCUAGUGGAAUGGUUGGUACUGAAUCUUGGUGUGUUCAAACAUAUUUACUAUUAAGCUGGAAACCUGGUCAUGGAUAAUCUUACUUACCUUAGUGAACUCUCUCUUUUUUUUCCCCCUCACAACUGUAUUAAUGAUGGUAUUAGGCCUCACAAUGUGGCGAUGGAAGUUACUCUAAAAUUUAGUGAACUUAUCAAGAUGAAAUUUGAAGAAGUGUCAAUAUCCUCUAGAUAUGUUAGUGUGACUCUGAUAUUGCUUUAAUGAGAGGUGGAAAAAGCUUUCUGUUGUUAACUUGAUUAGGAAUGGAGUUUUUUUGCAGCAAGCUUGGUGAAUAACAUGAUUUAUAAUAUCACAAGAUUUGACCUUUUUCUGUUCCACAAUAGCAACCAGCUUUUGAAUAAGAUGGGUGAUGAAGAAUUGUUUAGGAUUCUGCAAAACUACUUUAUAUGUACAUAUUAUAGUAUUGCAUUUAAAUUUUCUGGGCAAAGUUAAAAUUUAUCUUUUAGCUGCUGAUAUUACCAUAUAAUUUGGUUGUUAACCAACAGCUGAGUCAAGCAAUAUCAAAUGUUAAGCUCCUGACUAUCAGUACUACUUCAGACAGUGGGUUAUUGUUAUGGCUUGUCCUGCAAUGAAUUUCACAUAUCUUAUUUCAGCUUGUUAGCUGCAGUCAUUAAGAAGCUCUAGAGCUAUCAUUGUAUUACCUUGGAUUAGCUUUACCUAGCAUGCUAGUUGGAUACGGAACUUCUGGACAUUAUUUUGGUUGUGCUUUUUACUUUGCCUGAGAAUUGUCACUUAGUACAGCCUCUUUGAAGUUCUAGAUAGGGAUUUUUAACAGAUAGUGGUUAAUUGUUUGGGUGUUAGAUUUAUCUUAAAAAGAUUUAUACCUGUUUGGUUAAGAAAUAACUGGAAGGGGGCAGUCAUCAGGAGGGUCCUGGGGGGGAAUGCAUGGCGGGGGAUGGGGUUAUUUUGGUAGGCUGGGAGCAGGGGAUGAUUUUUUCAAGCUAGGCAGUGACGGGAGAGUACAACUGCCCCUUUGCCAUUCCUACUAAAAAGUACCAUGUCAUCCACAGACAGGUCAAUGUGCCCUAAGGAUGUUAUCCACAAGUUAUAUGCUUCGCUUUUGAUUUGUACGAGUAAAUAGAUAUUGUCUUAACAGAGCCUUAUAUUUCACAUGGAAGAUUAAAACUCUGAUGCAUGGAUGUGGGUUUGGUUUUUGAUAGUACUAACCAAUCUUGUUAAUUAGCUUCUCCUCAUCAAUUAUAUUUGAAAUCAUCAACAUUUUUUUAAUUAUGGAUGUGUUCAACAUUUUCAUAGGGAGAAUUACUCCGGAAAGUGUGAUGUAUAGCUUUGGCACACUUCUGCUUGAUCUUCUCAGUGGAAAACAUAUUCCCCCAAGCCAUGUAAGCCUUCUUUUGGUCAAGUAUUCUCUAUAUAACAAAAUUACGGGAAUACUUUCUUUUUCUGCAUACUCUCUUCCCCCCCCCUCUCUCACACACUUGCACACACAAACAGAGACACACAUGAAGAGAAAAAGUUUUUUGCUUGGUAAUGUUUAUCUUCCUACCUGUUAGCCUUUUUCUUUUGUUGUUUCUAUAGAUAAAAGUUCAAGGAUGGAGUGACAAAUUCUUCAGCUAGUAUAAGAAUGUAACAUUAAAUCUCAAUAUCUUUUCUGGAUCUCUUGAAACUGAAUAGUGGAUAGGCAGUUUCUCUGUGUGAAUAUUUGCUUUUGUUGACUGGGUAAUGUAUUAGUUGAGUCAUGAGCCCUGUGUAAGCUAUUCUUUUAUGAACUUCUACUUUCAAAUGACCAUCCACCUAAUGCAACUUACAAUUUUGUCAGGCUCUUGAUCUGAUUAGGGACAGAAAUCUUCAAAUGCUGACUGAUUCUUGCUUGGAAGGUCAAUUUUCCAGUGAUGAUGGAACUGAGCUAGUACGUUUGGCCUCACGAUGUCUACAAUAUGAGCCUCGUGAGCGACCAAAUCCAAAGUCAUUAGUUGCUUCAUUGAUUCCUCUGCAGAAGGAGAUUGAGGUUUGCUUCCUUUUUUGAGUGGCAUGAAAGUAACUGAUUCAAGACACGCUUUUCUGCCAUGUCUGUGAUCGUAAGCAUGGAUGACAUAAAGUUGUUGUAUUGUGUCAGAAAUGUCAAGUUUAAAAGGUGAAUUUGUCUUAUGGAGACGUGCAGAGACUUAGUGAACAGUUUUGCUGUAAUGCUACAGCUAGCACGUGUUUUGUACUUUGCUUGACUACAAUUGAUUUGCUGUCCUUGCUCUCAAGCAUUUCAAAGAUUUUGUGUAACCAGUUUAGGUAGCUGUUGGAUGUUGCUUGUCUUGUCACUAUAACUUGAUUAUGUAUAUUAUUUGCAAAAAGAGUCUGUAUUAUAGCAUGACUAGUUGUGAUACUUCCAUUUGGAAAUUUCAGAGAAGAUUGUAAACUGACAGUGGAUUCUCGAAAUCCACAAAUGUUCUUGCCUAUUUUUGUCUUUGAAUAGUCAUAUACAAUUGAUGAUUAGCAUUGAUCACCUCAUAUAGAUAUAGAAAUUGAUCAUUAGUGAAUACUUAGAAGAUGAAAAUGGAGAUUAUAAAUUCAGUUAGACCAUAAUACUUGUAUCCAUAUGGUGCCUUAUGGUGAAAGAGUGACUUAUCAGCCUGCAGAAUACAGUAUGUUUAACUAGUGGUUCUUAUUUUAGUUCGAUUAUGAACAGUCAAGUGCAAUGUUUUGCUCAUUUUCAUUUUUGAAAGUUCUUGUUUCAAUGUACUUGGCGCAGGAAGAUAAUUUAUCAUCAUCAUCUUAUUGAUUGUCAUGACCAUGGUUUUUGGUUUCUGUUUUAAGUUUGACUUGAUAUGCUUUCUGUAAAAAAUUUAUAGGAAAAUGUCUUAUAAAAGAAUUGAUGUUGAGUUUGUAGUAGGGAAGUCGUGAGAAGAAGCAAUUGUAUUGAUGUUUAGAAGUGGCUAUGCACAAUCAUUUCUGCUCUCAUACUUAGAAAGUCCUUCCAAGUCAAAAUGCUGGAGUUUUGGUGAUUGGGUGAAACAUAAUCUUCUGUCUCACAUUUGAUGCUACAGUGACAUUCUAAUAGAAGUUGCUUUCCAGGUUCCUUCACAUGUAUUGAUGGGUAUACCACAUGGUGGUGAAGCUAUGUCACUGUCUCCUCUUGGAGAGGCCUGCCAAAGAAUGGAUUUGACUGCUAUGCAUGAGAUCCUGGAGAAACUUGGCUACAAGGAUGAUGAGGGAGCAGCUACAGAGGUUUGUUGCCUAUUAGACAUUUUCAUAAACUUGCGUUGCUUGUUCUUUGAAGAUUGCUAGUGGCCUUGCAUCGUGUGAAGCACUCCUUUUUUCUUUUAUAUGCACACAUGCUCUAGGAGCCCCUCCAUCCUUUUGGAGUAGCUAAGUAGACUAUGGACUGACAGCUUGUCAUGUAUUUUAUUUGUGAUUUUGUAAUAAACUUUUGUUUGUUAACUUUUCUAAUAUCAAAAUCUCUGAGUGCUUCUUAUGGUGAUUGGAUCUUUUAUUAGGUAGAGAUAUUCUGAAGUUUUAUUUUUGUGGGAGGGAAAAGAUGUAUCUUUAAUUGAAUGGGGGUUGAGUUUCCCUCAUAGUUGGGUAUUUAGCAAAAAAUUGGUUCCAGGCAUAUUAUGUGAACCCUCUCUGGAUGCCAUAAAAUUGUGCUUGUUGAGUGUUUGAUCUCUCAUAUUAGCAUUUUCUUGGUAAUUUGCCUCAUCUUUCUUCUGUGAUACUGCAUUAUGGGCAACAUUUUUUUAGGUGGUUCUGCUUAUUGAGGACCGAAAUUAUGGUUACUUCGAUUCUUGUGGUUGUUUUGAACAGUAGUAGAGUACAACUUUUGAAUAAAAUGCGAAAGUUGUCGCUUUGUUCUUUUUAUUAUAUUUAAAGUGUUCUUUUAUGCGCCUGAGAAGCAUCUCUAUUGCUGUGAGACUUGAAUUGAUUGCGCUCAUCACCGUCCUAUUCUCGCAAUGCAGCUUUCCUUUCAGAUGUGGACAAACCAGAUGCAGGAAACUUUGAAUUCUAAGAAGAAGGGUGAUGUUGCUUUUCGCCAUAAAGAGUUGAAGGCUGCAAUUGAAUGCUACACACAGGUUAGAUCACUGUAAUCCUGUAAUAACUAUCCAAUUUCUCUAAACUGGAUUUAUUUUGUGAAUAUAAAAGGAAGUAGUUAAAUAUGAUUCCAAAUUUGUUAAAUAACAGGCCUGUCCUAUUUAGAUGGUGUAUUUGUUUUAUCAUCUGAGCUUUCCUAAAUGAUGAGAACAUGCUUAUAUCCUGGUUUGCAUUUUUUUUUUCUGUUGUAUCAAUUAAUCGAAUUUUAAAAUCAUAUGGGCAUUGGGUGUCCUUACAAUUGUUCUAGGAUCAGCCCUUAGUUCUGGUACGAUCUCCUUUUUUGGGUGUCAAGUUUUCAUUUGUCUUUUAUUUCUGAUCUACUAUAGGUAUGCUUCUGUCCUGUGUUAAUACCUUGUUGCUUUUUUCAGUUUGUUGAGGUGGGGACCAUGGUAUCGCCAACCGUCUUUGCUCGUCGUAGUCUGUCCUAUCUUAUGAGUGACAUGCCACAAGAGGCUCUGAAUGAUGCAGUUCAAGCACAAGUGAUAUCUCCUGUUUGGCACAUCGCUUCAUACUUGCAAGCUGCUGCUCUUUUUGCUUUGGAUAAGGAAAAUGAAGCACAAAUUGCUCUAAAAGAGGGUUCCGUUCUUGAAGAGAAAAGGAAUAUGACUUCCUUGAGAUAAAAGAGUUAACCAAGCGUUGGCUAUCUUCAUUUAAAAUUGCUCCAUUCUGGGAAAAGAUACAAGUAAAAUACAUCUUGGUUUCUGGUGCGGAAAGCUUAGAGGCUCUUCAGUUAUUCAACUUCAAGAAAAAUCAAGAGCUAAACACUACAAACUCUUAUGAUUCUCGAGUACAUGGUUCGGUGGUGUCGUUGAAACAUUCUUUUGGGAACAUCAAAUAGGUGGUUUGUUUCGGUUAGGUUGGUAGAGUCUUUCUCUGUUGAUAGUAGACUAAAGCUUUCCCAAUUAUACAAGUCUUUGGGGAUAAGUUGUUGCAAUUGGAAGGAAUUAUUCUUUCAUAAACAGGUCAAGAGGUCGGGAUUUUCUCGUUACAUGCACAGGCUGGUUGGAGAACAUUGCCAUGCUGUAAUUUAUGUACAGUGCUACAUGGCUUGUUCAUGCUUGAGAUUUGGCUGGUUCUUGUUUCUUGUAUUUGACUAUUUUUCUUGGUACUUUUUGUUGUGAAUUUUAAGGGAUUUUGAUGUCCAACAACAUUUGACUCCUUGUAAAUUGCGUAUGAGUUAGCAGCAAGUUAUUACUUUCUUUGCGGCCUCUGGUGUUGGACCAUUUAGAACUUGAAAUCUUAAACUUCAUCCAAACACUUGUGCUUUGAGAAAACUCUGAAUACUGGGGCAUUUUUGUGGUGAACCAAGGUUACAUGCUGAAGGAAGCUGCACCAACCAACGUAGGCUUUUCUGGUGCCUGUCUGCUUCAGCCUGAAACGAGGACCAGACUUGAUCUCACCCAUCGGUAGUCUAAUUUAAAACUUGAAGCUCGAGUAUGUCAAACGAAAGUGGAACAAUCCAGAUUAUCUAACUUUUGCGCUCGACUGGGGUGUCAAUGCCCCCCCAACACAUUAGCGUAAUCUGUGAAAAGUUUCCCAGUUUAUUCUUGACUCUUGUUGGAUUAAGCUUAGCCAAAUUAUUAAGGUUCCUGAGUCGCAUUCACCAAAUUCACUUCUGUUUAUGGUAAAGAUGCAGCAUUAGUCAAAUUAACGUUCAAUUUUUCGCCUGCAAAUCUAUUCCCAAAAUCAAAUGUAGCCACAAACUCCAAAUCUUGAAAAUAUUUUCAGGCCCCCAGUUUUGUGAGUCACAUCUUGACUUUGCAGCUAUUACCCCCAGUCAGAUCAGAUGGUGACAUAACAUAACAACUAGAUUAAAAAAGAAAAAAAAAACACGCCAUAUAUUCGUAUAGAAACAUCAAUAUUUAACACUUUACAUACAGUAUAAGAUCACCAAUAGUGAUAUUAUGGUGCAAGACCUUACUCACAAUCACCAUGGAAAGAACAUAAAUAAAUGCAAUAAUUUUAAUAUUCAAGCCCUCUUCAAAUCUUAGCUUUCCAGAACCGCCUCUUGAUCAUCAUCAUAGUCUUCAUCACCAGAGGCUGCAGCAUCUUGAUACUGCUGAUAUUCAGAAACCAAAUCAUUCAUGUUACUUUCAGCCUCAGUGAACUCCAUUUCAUCCAUUCCUUCACCAGUGUACCAAUGCAAGAAAGCCUUCCUCCUAAACAUGACUGUAAACUGCUCGGAAACACGCCUAAACAUCUCUUGAAUCGAUGUUGAAUUCCCCAUAAAUGUCGAAGACAUUGCCAACCCUGUUGGUGGAAUGUCACAAACACUUGAUUUUACAUUAUUUGGGAUCCACUCGACAAAGAAUGAUGAGUUCUUGUUUUGCACAUUGAUCAUCUGCUCAUCAACCUCUUUGGUGCUCAUUUUGCCUCGGAACAUUGCUGAGGCUGUCAGGUAUCUACCGUGGCGUGGAUCAGCAGCGCACAUCAUGUUCUUGGCGUCCCACAUUUGUUGCGUGAGCUCCGGAAUGGUGAGUGCUCUGUAUUGCUGCGAUCCUCUUGAAGUUAAGGGUGCAAAUCCAACCAUGAAGAAGUGUAGGCGUGGGAAUGGAAUUAAGUUCACCGCUAGCUUUCUCAGAUCAGAAUUAAGUUGGCCAGGGAAACGAAGGCAACAUGUUACUCCACUCAUGGUUGUUGAAAUCAGGUGGUUCAAAUCACCAACUGCGCCAAAACAAGAAAAGGAAUCACAUAUUGAAGUGUGCUCCGUGCUGAAGUGCUGACAUAUGUAACAUGAACAUUUAACUACCAUUCCUAUUCUUGCACAUAUCAUCUCAUUAACCUGCCCUAAUCAUCCGUCCAGAUUUAAAGAGUGAUUGUUUUGGGAAUUAAUCUCAAAAUGAUAAGAGGCCUUGUGUAUCUCCAACAAUUGACCGCGAAAUAUAACGUUGCUAGUUGCUACACAAUCUCACAAUUCGUUUGGCCGGUUGAAUUUUUACUACACACAAUUAGACAGACCUGCAGGAAAUUUAGGAAGCAACUUGAAUUAUUCAAGAAUUAGGAUCUAGUAUAAAGGAAGUGUUAACAAUUCCAAUGAAUUGUACUUCAAGACGAUAGAAGCCUCAACUAUUGAGACCCCUGAUCCAGUAACUUCUUGACUAGUUUCACUAAGUCGGUUAUUCAACUUCCUUGCAGUGCUUAAUUAACUUGGCAACUUACAGCUUGGAUUUGUGAGCUUGAGUGUUCUGAAACAAAUAUCGUAGAGUGCUUCAUUGUCCAGGACCAUGCAUUCAUCGGCAUUCUCAACCAGUUGGUGAACUGAGAGUGUGGCAUUGUAGGGCUCAACAACUGUGUCAGAGACCUUUGGAGAAGGGAAGACUGAGAAUGUCAGCAUCAUUCUAUCAGGGUACUCUUCCCUGAUCUUAGAUAUCAGCAGAGUCCCCAUUCCUGAUCCGGUGCCUCCUCCAAGUGAAUGGCAUAUUUGAAAUCCUAUAUUGUUACAGAAAUAAGAACAUGUAAUUAGAAUUGAAGCCACAUUUGUACCAUGACACAUUGACUCUGCAAGUACCAAAUAACUAAAGAAACAGCAAUUUUUACAUGAAAACUUAGUCAAAGUAUUAGAAAGUCUGAAUGGACUAAGCGGGUACGUACUUGUCCACUAUACGAGAGUUUUCUGCAGAUUCUAUGUUGUGAGUGCAUAAUAAUAGCUUUUCACGAAAUUGAGAUGUUGGAAUUUUCACCUUGUAAGCAAUCACAGUUCUCUGCUUCCUUUCGAACAACAUCAAGAACAGAAUCAAUCAGCUCAGCUCCUUCAGUAUAAUGGCCCUUAGCCCAAUUGUUUCCGGCACCAUUUUGGCCGAAAACAAAGUUGUCAGGCUUGAAAAUCUUCCCAUAUGGUCCAGUCCUCAAACUGUCCAUAGUCCCAGGUUCAAGGUCCAUGAGGACAGCUCUCGGGACGUACCUGCCACCACUGGCCUCAUUGUAGUAAACAUUGACCCUCUCGAGCUGAACAUGAGAGCUGCCACUGUGGUUUCCUGUGGCAUCAAUCCCAUGUUCAUCACAAACGACUUCCCAAAACUUGCCACCAAUCUGGUUGCCGCAUUGCCCUGCUUGGAUAUGAAGAAUUUCUCUCAUUCUCUAAGCAAUUUUUUUUUUCCUCUUCUUUUUUGAAGAUAUAUAUGAAAUAUAUAGAUGGUUUGAAAAAAAAAAAAAAAUAAAGUUAGAAGGAUGAGAGAAAAGGAGGUGACAUGGAAGUGUGAAUGAGGGAAGGCUUUUUGUAGUAGGAGUAGGAUGGAAUUUGAUUGAGACAUUGAUAUUUUUCUUCCACCUUACAGUAAUGCAUAGAUCCAAUUAAUAAUUUCAUGUGGGUAUGUUUCUGCAAUUUUUUUUUGUGGAGGCAAUGUCAACUUCAACAGGAAAUAUGAGCUGGAGCAGAAUAAUACAACCAUCAUGUGGGGGUACCUUUCUCAUCCUAUAUAAGAUUAUAUUAUGGAUUGUAUCUCCACAAAAGAAAUUAUGGAGAAAAUAAAAUAAAAUCCAUCGUGAUUGACACAAUGUACCUCAAUGUAAUAAAAUUACAUAGAAAAUGAAUCAAUUAUAACGAGACAUUCUUGAUCUUAUGACGCGUUACUUGAAUCAAGAAAUUUCUAAUUCUUAUCAGAUCAAUAUUUGAUCCACCACAGGCUUCCAAGGUUUGUGAUUUCAGUUUUGCCUUUGUUAUAGAAAUUCCGCCUCUUCAUUUGGCAAUUUCGAGGUGGGAGGGAUAUGCUAUAGUAUAGUAACUAGUCUAUUAGUCGAACUUAAGGCAAUUAUUUAGUCGCUUGUCAUAUGUCAUUUCUGUUGCUUAAUCAAAUUGAUCAUUGCUUAAUGUAAGAUCUCAUACCCGACCCUACACAAUUGAGUUGGUGGUUCGUCUUAGUUUUAUUCCCAAUUUGAUGAUUCCUUUGUAAAUAUGAAUUUUGAUCAUUCAGUGGUGGAAAAGGAGCAAAAAAAAAAAAAAAAAAAGGAAGAAGAAGAAGAAGAAAAAAGGGGUAGCAACCAACAAUUAUUGAAGGUAUGAAUAUGUCUUCAUCUAUGAUGAUUGUUUCCAAUGCAGAUACAUGACUGGCAAUCUCUCAUUCCAACUCCUAUCAGCUGUAUCAUCCAAGGGAGAGUAUCCAAUGACUGUUUUAAGUCAGAAAUCAAAAGGAUUUUAUGCUUCGAUUAGAGUGUCAACUUUUGAGUGGAAUAUAUUACUAUAUUACAUUAAAGCAAAUGGAGUUAGGGCACAGUGGUGACUGGUGAGCUAAUUAAUUAAUAUUGAGAUUAGCUGUCCUUAGACAGGAUCUAAUACAACAUUAUUAUCCCACCAUAAUGUUAAGAUACUUCAACCACCAGCCAUUUACUAAUCACCUGUCGCUUCAACUUGCACUGCUGCAAGGAAUUAUCUUCAAAUAGAAAAUUCAAUCAAUGAAUUGAGAACCCACGUUAGGCAGCAAACAUUUGGUAAAUUGGCAUAUGACAAGUCCAUGGUCCACACCAACCUUACAUUUUGUUGGUAUAUAUGGAGAUGGGGGAAGCUCAAUGCACUCUUCCAUCGUCCGUAGUCACUGUUUUAGGCUUGUUUCAGAUUUUGUCCCUCAAAAUGGUAAAAAUAAAUAAUGUAUGCCUGUCGACUAUUUCUAUUUUUGGUUCCGAAGAACACUCCAAACCUUAUAAAGGAGAACGGAAAUUAGAGAAGGUCUGAGAGUCGAAUCAGAAAUCUUAACUACUGCUAGGUUGAAGGGAAACUCCAAAUCUCACGAAAAAGUGAAAAAAUAAUGAAAAAAGUUUGAAAGUCGAACUAAAAACUCUUCCAUUCACCUAAUUAAUGUUUUUACCGAAUUAGUGUCCCCAACUAUGCCGUGUCCGAAGAAAACCGCCAAUCAAUUUUUUAUUUGAACCUGAAAUUACUUUGCAAAUCUCACGUCCUGCUUUUGACCCAAGAUGGAUAUCAAAUGGGCUUGCAAUCCCAUCCACUCCCCAGUAAGUAAUUGAUGUUGGUAAAGACGGCUUGUGCAAAGCUGAAGGAAACAAUAAUGUCUGGUAUUAACAAACUACAAUUAGCCCCAUUCACAAAUGGUGGUUGACAUAGAAGGGUCCAAGCCCCCACGGGUUUAGCCACAUGGUAGCAGCGUUCCCUUGGAACCUUCAGGUCUCGGGUUCGAAACUGCGCUAUGGGGACGCCUGUGCACUUAUCGUACCUUGGUCGGGUUGGGGCGCCGGGCUCGGAUCGCAGGAGAUUAGUUGAACCCCGUAAAAAUUGACCCGGACACCCUGUGUCGACAAAAAAAAAGACAUAGAAGGGUCCAAAUUUGGGGGAACCAAAUCACAUGGCACAUUUUGGACGGGCAUAUGUAUGAGCACCCAAAAUUGACUGGAAAUGAGAUGCCAACUAGCGAACCGCCCACGCCAUUUUGAGGGCCAACAACCACAAAUCGUACCGUAAUCCGCGCAUUACACCGUUGGUAAUCAGUAGUAUUAUGUACAAUCUUUUGAUUCUUCUCCUCCUUAAGCUGGAACGGUGAGAAUCAAAUGCAUUUAUACAUAUCAGGGUUGGAUAGGUAGCCCCUUAAUUAAUUAUGCUCUGUUUGCAUAUUUAGAAAGAGAAAAUGCGCGACAAAACGACGAAAUAGCACACAGCAUGGUAGGACCCCAAAAAUCAAGCUGAAUAAUAUGCCAAAGCGCUGAUAUUAGGGCGGUGGCUCGGAUGAUCAUUGAUCAGCCAGGACAAAGAUGAGGAAAUCAGAGGCAUCAGCAAGAAAUUCGGACUUGCACAUCACAUUACUAAGCAACAAACAGUCGAAUUAUGUGGAAAAAAGUUUAUUCAGAAGAAUACUGUAACACUUCUUGCGGUGUAAUGCGUAUUUAUGAUGCAACCACAACCACUUUAUUUUUUCGGUGGCAUCUCGGUGCAAACCGGAAGGACUUAAACUAAACAUUCAUUGCUUCAACUCCAUUAUUCCAUCCUCCAAGAUGAAAGCGAUGUGCAUGUUUUGAAGAUUACAAAACAUGAUCUUGCACUAAUUUAUUUCCUAGUAGAGUACACAGGUGCAAAUUUAAGUAACUUCUCAUCUCUAAAUCUACACAAAAAUUCUAAUUAGAAUCCUUGUAGUGAGCAUCAGACAGGUAUAUAAAGUGCAGAAAGAAUAAUGGAAGCGACUUCAGUAGAGCAGCUCCUCGAAAACAGGAUCUACACUUUGCCCCCACUUCCCAUGGUACAACUCCAGGAGCUUCUCUGCAGGUGUUACACCUGCCAAGAUUUGAAGGAAAAAAAAUGUCAUGCAUGUGUGUGAUAGAUACGCGUAUUGUCGACGUACUAUAUGAUCCCUUCUCAAGUCUAAACAGUAGAAUUCUGUGAGGUGAAAUCUACAAGAAUAGCUGGAUGCAAUAUGCAUCAAUCCAGAUUAAGAGUCGUGUUUUGACAAUAGCACAAAUCAAGAACUAAUGCACAGCCAGCAGAAUUGAAUCACUUCAAUUUAGAUAAACAAGUGAGAGCGCAAACAAAAAAUCACCAUGGACUGCAAGCAAAGACAAAAUAAUUUUUUAGUAUACAUCUAUUUACCUGUUUUCACAACUUCAGCAACUUCAUUCAAAAAUCCUGUUUCCUUGAAGCCUCUCCUCUCUAAACCAUCCUGCACAUACGAAAUUACAUUUGAAUCAAGAAAAUGGGUAGAAAAAAUGGCAUGAAAAUCUGUCACCAACUUCAAUGCCUUUCAACUCACCUUAGCCAACUUUACCACGUCUUGUGCCACAUGCUUCAGCAGCCCAUCCCGGAAUGGUGUAUUCAAACCACUCUUUGGUACCUACUACAUAAUUUGGAAUCAAAAUGAUAAUUCUACCUUAAUACUAUACUGCAGGAACAGCUCAAAAACCAAUACAAUUCGAGUAAAAUCUAAACCACAUUUUCUUAUCCAUGCUCCAAUCAAUAUAAGGGGACAACCAUGAAAAGCAGGUCAAAUGACCUGAUACUUUAUUCUUUCAAAAAAUGAAUUAUGGACAUACUCAAAAAGUUAUCUUCUGGGUUCAGCAAGUAAAAAAGCUUUAUCUUUUGUAUAGUGAUAUGUCCGUAUCCUAAUUCCAAAUAUGUGGAUCAUUUAGUAGUCCAUCUUUGAUAAAUAAGAAUGCUGAAACAUCUUGCUUUAUGUCCGAGGAAUUUAGAUGUAUAGUGGAAAAAAGCAAUAUGUUAACUAAUUCAAGAGAACUGUAACAGGAAGCUCUACAGGUGCUUCAGAACCCAUGAAUUUGUAGCUUGCCAUAGUUUCGAGUUUCAACUUCCCUCCUCCAAUCAGCAGUCUUCUAAUUGCUGAGAUAUUUCCUACUUAAAGCUAGACCCUCGCAUGCUUGACAACCUUGGAAGUGGACCAAGAGCACAGGGCAAUGAAAAGGAAGCAAAUAUUAAUUUCUCCAAACCAUCAACCUUCCUCCUUAAUCAUCAGUUUUAUUCUUGCUGUCAAAUGCCUACUUAAAGCUAGAUAGUUGUCAGUUAACGGCCAUUAUUUGCUUUAAGAGCACAGGCCAAUGGUAAUGAACACAUGGAACACAUGAUGUAGUUGAUAGCUUCUGCCCAAAAAAUAAUAUUUUUCAUGGUCAAGACAAAUUUAUUACCUUAUUCCUGAGCAUUUGUCUUUCUUCUGCCGUCCAAUCAGCUGUCAUGUCCAGAACACUUUGAAGAGAAAUUUCAUCAUAUAGAAGGCCCACCUGGAAUACAGAUACUUGAUAAUCUAAUGGAACUAAUCCCAAUAUAGAAGGUUUACAACUGAAUUCUCCACAAGGAAAGCAGGCUAUCAAUUUAAGAAUGAGAAGAAUGUGGAAUUCAAGGCAAAAGUAUCACAUGUUUCUACCACUUCAAUUUCUCAGCCAAUAAUCAAAGAAGACUUUUUUUAAAAAAAAUAUUUUUUCCAGCAAGGGAGGGGUGGAAUUUAAGAAGCAGGGAGGGGGAAGGGGGAUUGGAACCCAGGACCUCUAAAUCUCGUUAGCCACUAGAUCAAGGCCUCCUCGGCUAAUCAAUGAAUAUUUGUUAUCCCAUUCCCUCACAAACCCUAAAAGAAGGGAACACAAAAGGCAAGGGCAAGAGCUUGGCAGACCAAACAAUCAUCAUCCAAAGAUUAUCUACAGCAAGUGACAAGCAGUAACCUAACUAUAUAUAACCAAUGUUACCAUUUAAGCCUGUCUCCAAAAUUUUUAGGAAAAGAAACUUAAGAAGAACAAUCACUUCUGAGAAGACAAGCCUAAGAAGAAGACAAAAACCAUUCAUUGACCGAACAAAUAAUUCUUUCAGUUCUAUCUUCAAGUAACACUCGUACUGAUACUUCCCAAUUGAGACAACAAAAUGGCAUGGAUAGCAAAUUCUAGAAAGAAGCUCUAUACCCAGAAUGCAGGCAGCGCACAUAGCCUCCUCCAAGGUCCUCCAUCAGCACCUCUCAUCUCCAAAUAUCUCUUAAGCCUCACCUAAUGAAAAUCAGGUUGAGGUCUAUUUUCAUAUAUGACCUCACUCAAAAAGCAGCAUGGACAAGAUACAGAAUAUUAUCAUCACAUCAAUCUCAGCCAAGAACACAGACCUCAGGAAAUAUUGUUGUGAGAUGAUUCUCCCAGUCAUUCAGGCUCGGAUAUUCACCAGGAAUAGAAGGAAGUUUUCCUGCCAUAAAAUCCUGCAAAUAAUUUACAUUAAAAGAUACCUUUUACAUUUACUAAACAAAUAUUGUUUGAUCUGCAAUCAGAAUUUCAAGUACAGUUAAAUACCCGGAAUGACAUUCCAGCACAGUUGACAUACUCCUUUUUCCGAUACACAAAAUACAUUGGCACAUCAAGAGCAUAUUCUACAUAUUGCUCAAACCUGUAAGAAUGCAAAUAAAGGGUAUUACUGUGGGGAUGAAUUGAUCCAUGAAAAUCUUUUUAGAAGAGAUCAACAAUUUGUUAUCCCAUCUUUCUUCAAUGUUCGAUGCAAAUCAAGAACAUCUUUCGAACAAAAUAGGUGGGAGCAGAAUGAAUGAACCUUUAGUUGGAAUGUGUGGUCACCUGCCAAUCUAAUAAAAGCUAAAGGAGAAUUCUACAUUUUCAAAUGUUAAUUUUUCUUUUAAUUAUUCUUUUUAGAGUUCUCUGUUUCUAUGCUGUCUUCCAAGUAAUAUGUGCUCUUAAAUGGUUAACAAUUUGUGAAAAAUCAUAAGAGUAAAAAAUUGAGGCAAUGCAUAAUCAUGUAUCAGCCCCCUACUAGUUGAUUUGUUUUCCAAAUCACCAUGCAACAUUUUAAGUAGAGAGACAUAAGACUGUAUUUUUUUCAUCCAAUUAUUUCAGAAAACUUGGAGAACCUACCCAAAAGAGUCAUCGAAGACAAAGGGAAGCAUGCCUGCACGAUUAUUAUCUGUAUCUGUCCAAAUUUGGCUGGUCAAGAAAGAAUUUUGUGAGAUCCUAGUACAGAGUUGCAAUUUCACCAAAACAACGAAAUAUAGAUCAUUCUAUCAGUACCUUCGCAUGCUAAGAUAUCCAUUUGGUUUUCCUUCAGUGAACGGUGAAUUUGCAAAUAAAGCUGUGGCAAUCUGUUUCACUGCCCUGUUAGAUCUCAGAAAACAACAUAUGCUUUUUCAAUAGAUAUGAAGAAGAAUUCUCACAGGCUGCAGUGCAAGACCAGCUCGGAAUUUUCUUAUCAUGUCAGCUUCAGAACUGAAGUCCAGAUUCACCUGCCAAAAGCGGGACAAAUAUAACUUCCGCUGCACAAUUAUGACUCUUCACAGACCAGAACCCAUGAGAAAUGGGAAGAGAGAGAUAAUCCGUAGCAAUUAUUAUCCAUCUACAACAUACAGAAUUAGUACUGUGAAAAAAUAAAAUCAAAUAUUCUCACCUGAACAGUACACGUUCUGAACAUCAUGUCAAGCCCCAGUGAGCCAACUUUAGGCAUGUAAUUUCUCAUAAUUUCAUAUCUCCCCUGAGCCAGAAUACUAGGUAAGCAUACCAACAGCAAACUAAAGCUUAUGGAGCAAACUAGUAACAGUAACAGUAUAAUAAUGUACUAAAUACAAGACUAAAGAUGUCACAGACUAAAUGAAAAUUGGAUUUAUUUCACUAUUACCUUCGGCAUUAUAGGUAUGUCCUUUAAUCCCCAUUUGGGUUGGAAACCAAUUCCUAGAAAUCCAAUGCCCAUCUCCUCUGCAACAGCUUUGACCUGUGCAGUUCAUUUCAAAACAAAAAUCAAAUUAUAAACAAUUUGUAGACUUUUUUGUUCCAUGUAUUUUGAGAGAAAAACAGAGAGGUUCAAUAAGUAAAUUGCCUGGACAUUCAAAGUAACGCCUACCAGAAGAAUUUCCACACAAAAGAAUGAAAAAUGCUAUGGAAGAAAAUUUCCUUUGCCAUAUGAAAAAUAGAAAGUUUUGUUGCAGAAACAGUGUAUUUCGAUAGGAUAUUACUAGGAAAAUUUUUUGGAAUAACACUAUAGCACUUUUUUGUCAUGUGAUAUAUGUGAAAAUAAAUAGGUUCUUGGAAGAUAAAAAAGUAAUUGGAAAAUGUCUUUAUGAUGCAAUCACAAUUUAUUUUUGCAAAUAACAACCUAUCCAAACACACCCAUAUUUAGAAGGGCAGUAGAGGAGCUCAAGUAAACCAGUGAAACUAUAAAGUUAGUGACCAAGGUCUACAAUACGGUAAACAUUUUACCUGGAAGAAAAUGAAGAGAGUCUCUAGUACUAAAAGUUAUGUGUAAAAAUGCGUCAUGAUACUUUUAAUUCCACGUAAAGAUAUAUACAUACUUGAAAAGAACAGAGGCACAAAUAAUACAUCAUCAGCCACCAUGCAUAUAUGUGCAACAGAGGGUUAUGCACAUUUAAACUAUUUAAUAACUAAAAUUCUAGUCUAUCAGAACUCAGAUUCUUCGUUUCAAAAAGAAAGUAGGACAAUCUUUCAACAGGAGGGCGGUGGAUUCCAUAUUUAAUUUAAUAUGUGUAACAAUUUUUUUGGACAAACCUGGUAAAGAUGUGAAUUAACCUCUGCACAAGUUUGAUGCAGAGUUUCAAGUGGUGCACCACUUAACUCAAAUUGGCCACCAGGCUCCAGUGAUAUGCUUUGCUUUCCCUGACCAGAUACAGAGUAAAAGCUUCUCACAACUAUGAUAAAAGGGAUAAAUCUCAAACUUUGUUAUCAGAACCCAUCAAGAUGAACAAGGAGAUAAAAUCUUAAGGAUAUUUGAAGUAACUGACUAGCAUUGAAAGUAAUUAAUACAUGAUGAACACCAGGAAAGAAUAAUAUACCUGUUUCAGACCAAUAAUGUUCUCGCCCUCCAUUAUUUUGUCCCAGUCAAAUCUCUCAGAAAUACUAUUAAGCAACUCCGCAAUUUGUUCAUAUUUCAUUGGUCGGAGAGUCCCAAACUCAAAACCAAACUUUUCAUGUUCAGUGCCGAUUCUGUCAAGUCCAAGGAGUUACAAGAAGGUUAUCAAAUCUACCAACCCCUUGAGUUGAUUUAACCCCAUAGAAACACACAUACACACGCAUAAAAAAACUUAAAAUAAGUCAUGUAAUUAAUAAUUCAAUUGUUUCAGUUUGAUAGGAGUUCCAAGUGACUACUCACAUCAUGCCUAAAAGCAGUUCUAUUAAAUUCCACAUAACAAACAAGGAUGGGGCAUUGUUUAGGCAAAAAAGGGUGCAACUGAAAAUCGAAGUACCAAUAAAAGCUAGAAGUUGAACCUCCAUUUCUCCUUAGGCUUGCAUCCGGAAGCCAGGUACCCUACAAGAUCUUCCUUUGUCAGUGGCUCUGCAGCAACAACAGCAUCCUCUGUAGGAGGGCUUGCAGCAACAAUCACCUGGUGUUUCCUUUUACUCUCUCCAGGACCAUAACUCCUUCGCUGCUUCGACAAAUUUGACGAAGAGAAACGGAAACCAAAACAAACAUCCUUAACUUUAGACCCCUCCAUGCUGCCGGUUAGGCUAUAAACCACACUGUGUCCAGCUUUACAUCUUACGAUCUCAGGCUGAACGCAGUAUGAUGGACCAGCCUGGGACAUUAGUGCCAUUUUUACACCUGAAAAGUCAGAAAUGCCAAGUUUUACUAACAGCUUCUCAUGCCCAAACCAGCAGUCAGAAUUUAUAGAUCUUAGCAUCAAUAAUUGAACAGCAUAACACUAAAUUCAAAUUAUAUUCUGUGUGAUAUACAAGAGGAGAAAGUUUUCUUAUUUGACCAGUUAAAACUAUUUCACAAAGCCAGCAGGCAAGAUAAGCUAAAAACAGAAAAGAAAAUGUACACCAAUGACAAGUUCAAACAUAAGUUCAUACACAAAAGAGCUAAAGAUUUGAAUGCAAAACCUAUUUCAACGAAAAUCGGCUCAUUAAUGCAUCUUUUCUCUUGUUAUGUUAAUGGCCUAGUCCAGAAUGAGAAUUUCAGUGCCGAUCUAGACUGCACAGAAUCUUUUCUACUAUAAGAAAAGGCAAUUUAUAUUUUUCUAGUGGGAAAAGAUUUUAAAAUGCCUAUAAGCAGAAACAUCAUAGUUUAAUACGUACAUAUCUUAAACCAUUAAUAUCUGCUUGUAAGCUCUCAUGCAUGUCAAAACUUCACAAUGCAAAAGAAAUAAAACUCCAGAAGCCGAGUAAGAUUCUUAAAGUCAAAACACAUUUAAAAAAAAAAAAACAAUAAAACCAGCAAUACUAGAAACCUGUUGGCUGUUGCUAUCCAAGUAUAAGUCAAAAUACUUCAACACAGUUUAAGCAACUUUGCACGACAAAGUCGACUCAUCAAAAGCAAACAAUAUAUUUUAAAAAACCAAUUUAGCCAAGGAAAACAACAGAUAACUGCCAAACUAACAAAGAUUGGUUCUUGCAAUCUCAUAUAAAAAAGAGCUUUAAGUGAUUCAAAUUAUACAACCAUCAGGAACUCAAAAAUAACACUCCAGAACCCAUUCGCAUAAAAUAAAUAAAACAAGAAAAACAAACAAUUAGAGCUCUAAAAAUUCAUUCUUUGACAUAUACGAGACUAAAGGAAAUGCUCCACAUUAGCAGAAUUCUGCCCUGGGAAUCAUAGUCAUAAACAUGCAGACACCAAAAAUCUAAAAUAAUAGCAUAACCAGAUAAAAUCCCCCCAUAAACACAAAAGGGUUUUGCACAGCAAGAAUAAAAAAAAAAAUUGAUUCUUGACAUGGUACAAGCCAAUGGCAUGGCCCCAGAAAGGAUGACAAAUGUAAGGAGAGAUGAGAUAUACCUGAGCCCUUAAAUUCUUGGGACAAAAUAGAAAAUUUCCGGAUUCGGGGAAGAUAAGUGAGAUUUGAGUGAGGGAGGGAACAGAGGCGCUUGGAAAUGGCAAAGGGAGAAAGAGAUGAGCUGAAAGAAGGGUGGUGACCGGGGUGACGUGCUUGGGAUACAAAUGGUACAAUUUGGGUCUGUUGCUUUAUUCAGAGUGUCCCUAAUAAAGAAAGGUUCAGGGUGCGUGCACCAGGCCACUUGGCUUGGAGAGUGGCACGGGGAACUAAAUACUCCGGCACCGAUCCAUAUAUUUUUCAAUCUGGUCCCCAUAGCUUCUUCGAUGUUGACACGUCAUCUCAUCGUAAAGAUCUUAACAGCGACCCCCAAGUAUAACCAUGGUAACACUGCGGAAGAGUAAUCGUUUGACUAAGUGAAUCAUGGUCACCUCUCAUCUCCCACCUCUGAAGACUCCCAAUAAUACAGCCGCCGGCGGCAGUGGUAUGACAUCAAAAGUUCGUGCCGCCUCACACAUACAUACUAACUGCGGUGAUUUGGAAUUGGAAAAUUUAUUUAAUGGAAUCAUUAUUGUCUGCUCUUACAUGCUUGCAUACGUAAUUUUUUUCUUUCUUGGUCAAAAUAAACUUGGCCACUUAAUCUCUAUAAUCAUCACAUUGCACGUUAGAAAGCAAAUAAUUAAUCCCCUUAUUAAAACCAAGAAAAGAAACACGGAUGAUGGCUCUUACGAGUGUGCAAACAAGCCGAGUCGAGCUUUGGGUUUAUCGAACCGAAUCUCCAGUUAAUUUCAUGAAGCUCAACGAGCUCAAAAUGUCAAGUUCGAAUUCGAACUCGACUCAAAUUUUAUUUUUUAAAAUGAAUAAAAUAAUAAUUUUUUACAAAUAAUAAAAUAUUAGGAAUAUAUGUAAUUUUACUAUUAAAAUAAUAUAUAUAUAAUCAAGAUCGCAUGUGGCUCGCGAGCCAACGAACUUAAUAUUUUUUAACUCGAGUUCGAUAUUGACCGAGCUCGAGUCGAGCUCGUAUUCGAGCCGCUCGCAAGCUGAUUCGUGAGCAGCUCUAGCUAUUACUAUUAUAAUAUUUCAUGGUAUCAGUCAUUAGUACUAUGAUCAAAUUAAUCAAGCUUUCAGGAUAAAAUGUUUGUGACAAAGACAAUAAUGGUUUUGAUGUAGUGACAUAUAGGCGAAGAGAAGUAAACGAAUUGUUCAUUGACGUGUGGUAAUAUGAGGGAUUAAUCCACUUGAAUUGCAGGAGGGCCCGAGGAUAAUGGAAAGGCAUCAGGAAAUUCUGCUCCAAUACAAGAAAUAAUUCAUGGUUAUUGGCAUUGGCAGCACCUUUUGUCAAGAAACAUAUGCUCGUUCACUUUCAGGAAUUUUAUUUUUUUUUCUUUCUUUUGGGUCUAAAGGGUAGGGAAACUCCAAACUAGGGUUGCAAAUAAAUCGGAUCGGUCGCAAGUAACUCGAGUCCGAAAUCGAUUAUAUAUAUAUAUAUAUAUAUAUUAUUUUACUAGUAAAAUUACAUAUAUAUUUUUAAUAUGUUAUUAUUUAUUAAAAAAAAUUUAUUUAUUAUUUUUUUUAAACCCAAACUCGAGUUUGACAUUUUGAACUCGUCGAGUUCGAAUUGAAAUUCGACAUUUGUUAAAUUAUGUUGAGUUUUGACUCGAUUAGAAUAAAACUCGAUUCGAUUCGAGUCAUUUGCAUCCUUACUCCAAACUUUAUACUAAGAAGGAAGAGGGAGGGAAAAGAGAUACUUUGAGAAUAGAAUCAAGAAUCUUAUAAUUGCAUAACUAAUGUACCUACCUUAAAGUGGAUCUCGCCAUUACCUAAUUAAUAUCCCUACCUAUCAAGUUGGGUGUUGAGAAAGCUUGGCAUCCAAUUCAUCCAGCUUGGUACAACGUUCCAGUAAAGCAAUGCAGUCAAAAAUGUCUACGUCUUUGUGUGCGUGGGUGACAAAGACGAGUUAUGGAAUCCAAUCCAAGAGACUGUGGAAGUGGAAACUGAGAAAGCAUAUUGGAUGAAUGCUGCGGAAUGGAACCACAAGCAAGCACAACAAUUUCCUGACUUUCUAUUCAGCGUUGUUACUUCCCUUGGAAGCCAAAACCAGUGCCAUGGAAGUGUUUUAAUACCCCAAUUAUCCCAAAUAAUAUUUCGCUUGCAUCAUAGACACAUUUUUCAACCCACCUUUUUAUAUUUCCAACCACCUUUUUAUCUCACAUACAUCAUAUCACAAAAAGUGCUACAGUAAUUAUUCCAAAUAAUAUUUCAAAUAAUACACUAUCCAAACAAACCAUAAUGGUUGAAAUCCCAACCUUAUUACUAGUCUUUCUAUUGCCGUAAGCCCUUGGAAGUAAAGAUGCGUCGAGGAUUUAAACUCAAAAUCUCUAAUUAUUGAAAUCCCAACCUUAUCCGCUGUAUCACUUGAAAACAUAUUAAAUUUUAACAUAUAUCACAUCAAAAAAGUAUUGCAGCAAUUUUUUUCCAAAAAAAAAAUUAUCUCAAACAAUCUACUAUCUCCUUUUUUAAUUUUGUUCUUCUUACUAAUUAGUUUUUUUUUUAAUGUUUUCAGUGAGAGGUUAUAAGGUGAAAACCGUUAUUUUUUCUAGUGUAGUUUUGGCAUUGUAAGAAAUCACGCUUAGUACCUGCUACAUUAAUAUUAUUGACCUAUUUCGUUUCCAGGUUACAGAAAAUACAUACCUAUAUAUACUUUUGGGUAGAGAAAAAUAUAAAUAUAUCUCCUAAUACAACUUUGUUUUUCUAAUAGUUGGAUUUUUUCUACCGUUAAUGCUUGACAAAUACGCCUUGUUUUGAACAUUUACUAUACUUGUAUGUUCUCAAAAACUAGCUUAAUCAAUGUUACAAUAGCUAGAUAGACUUCAUGAUUCAACUUUUAAACCUUCACAUUUUCUCUUUUCAUUGUAAAUAUACCAGGUUUGUUUUGUUAGUGGAUUAUUAGCAAAAUAUAAUUAUUUACUCGUAUUAUUGACACAUUUUUUAAUUAUUCUUUUAUAUCACAUAUACCCCCGUUGAAAAAAUAAUACGGUAUUUUUUUUUCACAAAAAAUUAUCCCAAGAAUCAUGUAUAGUUCGAAAAUAUGAGCUGCAAAUAGAAUUGUUCCUUCAAUUUCUUUCGGGUGCUCAAAAAAAGGGGCUGGACAAAUGAUAAAUCAGUCUGGACCUAAAACCAAAAGUAAACCAAUCCGAGCCCUGAAUUGUGUUGGAGAAAUUACUCUUCCGCCCACAUAUCCGGGCUUUUUGUGCCAAGUAGGCAAGCUGGGGAGUGGCUUAAGCCUUGCCUUAUGAUGGACUGUCAUCGGGCUCCUCCAAUGGGACAACAACCCAACCCAUGCCCCACAAUAGAAACUUUUGGGCAAAGAGAAAUCGUGAAGCAAGACACAGGUUUAGGUGAUGAUAUGAAACCAAAACCACCCAAAUCCCUCCAUCCAAACACACCCUAAGUGGACUGCCCACUCCCUCGCGAGGCUAGGGACAAACCAUAAAUAAAGCUCCCAAUCAGAUUCGUUAAGCACUUGGAGGUUGAGUCCGACUCUAAACUCUAAAGUAGGGGCGCAUUAAGUUCAUGAUGCUGCCACGGAUCAUAUAAUUCCUGACAGGUGCAGUCUCUUAUGCACGCAUUCUUCAAGUUACAUGGAUUCCAAGGAUUGGAGGAGGGGCAGCAACGUUGUAAGAAUUGGAAGCAACCUUUCCUGAAGGUUCAUGGUCAAGAUUUGGUCGAAAAAACAUGUAAAGUUCAAAUUACAUCUUGCAAAUCAUUUUUUCCACAUUCUAUAGUUACACGUUGUUGAAAGUGAAUCAUACCGCAUGCAUAUAAAGUUAGUUACACGUUGUUGAAAGUGAAUCAUACCGCAUGCAUAUAAAGUUACGUACGAUUUUCUGACAAACUAUUCCGGCCCCUUGUCCCCAAGAAUUGUAUUCCAAGGACUCUUUGUCACAUAACGGUUAUGCCAGAGGUAUCUUCCUCCAGUUUGCUCUUGGACACAGCAUCCAACAUUUCACUCCCCACAGUUCUAUUUCUAUAAUCUAUAUAUAAUCUUUUUUCCGCUUUGAAAGGACACAAUUUUGGCCAUUUUAAAGACUAAACAGUCCAUUUGCGUUCUUUGAGUCCCAAAAAUGUAAUGUAAAUGGAAUCUCAUUGUGGUUGGAAAAAUACCACACUCACUCAAUCCCAAUUAUGGUAUUUUGAAAUUUCACAUUCAUCAUCGCGUCAUAGUACAAUCUCAUGCGUUACAAAUUUAGAUCACGAGGUAUUCUGUUCCGACCAUAGUUCGAAGGUAGAACACAAUGACACAGAUGAAAUGAAAAAAGUCCAUAACAGAACUCUACGAUAUUCAUAAGAGUUUAAUGGCAGGCUUGAAAUCAACAUGUCUCGCAACCCAAGUAUCCUAAUCUUGUAUGAAUGAAGAAACUUUCUGGUGUCUCACGCCAGUACGAGAAAUGGAGGACAGGCAUCGUAAUGUCAAAGCAACAAGCAAUCUACAAAAGCGGCUAACUAGAAUGUGCUUCAAAAGGCGCCGCAUACCUUCUCGAAACUGCAGGUUUUGCGGAUUUUAAUGAUCCACAAGGUUGUUGGCAAAAACAUAGCACUCGAAAUUUGUAGACAACUCACAAAUGCAACUUGCUAGAUGGAAAAAAUAGGAACUAAGAACCAAAGUGAUGCCAAAGAGAUUACGCAUUAAGCAGCAGCUAGGCACAUUCAUCAGACAAGCAGACUAUGAUGCGUAAAGAUAACAUAACCCUCCAACAAUAAGUCCAUUUCCAUAGCUAGACGUGUCCUCAAGAAACAUCCAAUUCCUUCAUUAUUAACUUUUCUAACUGUAUAAGAGUAGCAUCAACAAUAACAGUAAUUAUAAUAAUAAAAGAGACACUGAAGCAAGAUAUUGAAUCUUAAACAUCCAUAUAAUGGAGUUCCGAAAUAUAGUGGAAUCAAUACAUACAUGAGAUAUUCAAUGCUAGUCCAAUGUGGACCACAUUUUCCAUUCCUUUGACUUCUAUUUUGCUUUCCUUUUUAUCUCCUAGUUAUACACAAUUUAUAAAUUAGAUUAAGCACAACAUACUGUACAAUGGGAAGAUGUCACCAGAAACCAUCAUCAACAUCAACGGUUGGGUGGGGAUCAUCUUCUUCCUCUAGUUCCAUCUCUAACUCUGGCUCAAACUCAGCUGACUCGAUGUCUGCAAGGUUUUUCAAAUCAACCACAGAGAGCUCAUCAAGGCGUUUAACAACCAAGUCAGCAGCUCCAAGCUCAUACAUUGGAUGUUUGCUUGCAACAGCUACACAUUUCAUCCGAGCAUCAUGUGCAGCCUCCACAGUUUGAUUCGAGUUCCCAAACACAAUACACCGCUCGGGUAUGUAUUGUAAAAGCUGUGCUGCAUACACAAACAUCUCUGGAUCUGGUUUCCCCCGAUAGACAUCCUCUGCUGCAACAACAACAUUAAAGACCUCUUCAAUCCCAACAGCACCAAUUGCAGUCUCCAAAUUUUUUCUAGGUCGGGUGGACACCAAAGCAAUUGGGAUUUUGUAAUGCAUCAAGAUAUUGACAAAUUCCUGAGAACCAGGUCGGAAACUGUAGAUCCCACCCUGCAAGGCUUGAUAAAUUUCCUCCUUCCGACCAGCCAUUCUUUUCAACUGAACCGGAUCUCUUGACCAGCAAAGAACCUCUGAUAUUGCUUGCUCAUUCUUCAUUCCUUCGAUCCUUCGAAGGACGAAAGCUGGAGGAGGUGAUUUUCCUUCUUCCUCGGAAAGAGCCAACCAAGCUUGCUUCUCAAGAUCCGGAUUAUCUUCAAUGAGCACACCAUCCCACUCGAAUAUAGCAGCUAGCCAUCCACAUCCCAUCCUUUCUUGUCGAAGCAAUGGAUUUUGAAGGCCAGGAUUAUCUGCCUUAUUAGGUGGUGGCCAUAAUCCCGGCAUUCUAUCAACACCAGUAUCAAUCUGGUAUCUAAAAUCCUGAUAAGAUUGCCCCUCUUCUCUGUAUGCGUAUGCCUCUUUAGUCAAUUCCAUCGCCUGACACUUAAUUAGCUGCCGAUGGGCUUUUAAUCUCGGCAGAGAUGAUGAAGAAACAAGUUUUCUAAAACGAAAUUCCAUUGGAGGAAACUUGAUGAUAUCGAUUGCCCUCCGUUUGCCUGAAACAUCCUUGGAACAAUAGCCUCCAUACAGCGGAAGAUUUCCCAAAAGGGAUGUGGUAGCAAAGGAUUCCACCAUUUUUAACGACAGAAGAUGAAAACCACAGCCAAAUCUGACCUAUAUAUCAAACUUUACACUCUUUCCCCCUAAAUUGGAAUCCUUUUUCAAGUUCUUGCCCAGUUAAAUGCAACAGAACCCUCACAAACCAACCAAACUGACCUUAAUUUCAAUAUAUUUAAGUAUCCAGAAAAAAGUAAAGCUUUUUUAAAUCGAACUAAUCCUUCCUUUGAACACAAAAACCAAUAUCAAGACUAAUAAUAUACGACUCUAGCUUUGGAUUCCAGAAACCCAAGUGCUACUUUUUCUCAACAGGCUCCCAAUUCACACAACAAUAUAUUCUUACAGACUAUAUUUAAUUACAAAGAACCUUCUUUUGAGAGAACUCACAGAUUAUUCCCCAAGACCAACCAAAAAGAGAGGCAAAGAAAGAAUAACCAAACAGCACAAAUAUCCCAACUUUAUUUAAUAGCCAUUAAAGUACUUCCAUUAUCGGAUAAUCCAAACAAAAAACCGUGCAAAAUCCACUGGCCCAAAUCAACAAUUAUUGCAUUAAACAACUUAAAAAAACACGACUCGAUAAUUAACUAAAGCCCAGAAGGCAUGAGCUUGUGAUAACCAAAAAAGGAAGGAUUUUUAUUAAUAUAGUUAUACGCAGUAAAAACCCAACAAAAUUCAGAUAAAUUAAGGGUAAGAACUUGGACCAAAUUCAAUAAAAAUCUGAACUUUAUUGGAUUUAAAUCUAGAGUCUUGAAGAGAGUACUUAAAUAUGUUGUACAGUGGUAUUUAUAUACAGGGAGAAAAAGGCAGGAAGGAACCUGAAUGAGUGAAAAAGGAUGCCUGGAUUGAAGAGAAAGAUUGGAUUUUGAUUUAUUUGGAAGAGGUGAAUUAUUUAUGUGUGGUUUAUAGGCAAAGAUGGGGGAAGCGGGUACUUGUUUCAGGAGUCGAAUUUGGUCUUGGAAACCGUAUGGUGGUGGCCGGCGGAGGCUAAUUGUGUCCAGAAGUACACGCGGGCAAUGUAUGAAUCUUUCAGGAAAUUUCUUUUUCUUUAUUUUGUAGGUAAUUGAUACGUUUUGUUCCCGAAAGAGAAAGGUCAGCUUUAUUCAAGGAAAAGAUAUAACUAAUCAGGGAAAUUCCCCUGCUAAUUAUCUAAAUAUAGAAAGUAAACCGGAGAUGACCAGUAUAUUUAAUCUUUUUCUCAAAAAAAAUAAAGAAAAAGAAAUUUCUAUAUCAAGUUUGCUUCGGUGUUGACACAAAUUUAAGUAUCCAUAUUAAACGCAAUUAUGAUUUAACUAUUCUUUCAGAAUUAUUGGCAUAGAAGUCUACAAGCUAUAGAAGUCUACAAGCUAUUUUGAAAAUUUUCUUCUUAUUAUUUUUUUUAGGAUUUUCUCUUCCUUUACUGUUAAACCAUUAAUGCUUUUUUUUGCAAAAUAUGUCUGUAUAUUGUUAGCAUGAGAAGGAUGAAAUUUAAAAAAUAAAAAGGAAAAAUGAGAAUUUGAACCCAAUACCUCUUAAUUCUGGAAAAGUCGUUAUGUGUCUGUCGUAGUUCUAUAAUUAUACACACAAACUUUCAUCAAGAUCGCAACACUUAGAAUAGAACCAAGCAUUAUUGAUACAUGUUACACGCAUAUUCUCCAAUUUCUAUGUGGGUGGAUAACAAUCCAAAUUGUAUCUUAGGGUAAAAAGAGAAAGACAUUCAAUUUGUGUCUUAUCUAAUUUGUUAAGACCAGUGUUAUGGUAUCAUUAACUCGUGUGACGUGCAUCUUUAAUAUCUACAAGAAAAAUACCUUCUUGUGCAUAAAAUUGUAUCCUGAGAUUUGUUCAGACUUCAAAAUUCAUAAUUAAGUUAGGUACGCUAGUAAAGAAUUCAUUUUGAUUGAAGAGAUAUCGUUUCAUCUAAUAAAUCUGGACGAAUGACAUAUAUGUAUAGAUCUGCAAUCAAUAGAUACAACAGACUUAAGAAAAGAAAUUUCAUUAAACGAGGCAAUGGACAUUAUCCACCAAAAUCAGAAACUUAGCAAUCCAAGUGAAAUAGAGGUCUUGGAACAAAAUGGUGCCUCCAAUUAAAGUAGCUUAAUUGCGUUGCUACAUCCCAAUCAUCAGCUACAAGAAGGGAUUAAUCUAAUUAAGGUGGAAUGUAUUAUACAGAUUGAGUCCUUUUCAAGGAACAUUUUUUUUUUUAUUAAUCCAGUGAACUGUGGAUAAGAACUUACAGGAGGGGUCAACGCUCUUCUCCAAUCAAGUCCGCAAUCUAUUUUCUUUUUGUUGUUAAGCCUCGGGAAAUGUAUAACUUAUUUAAUCCCUACGCUUCGCUUGUUUAUUUGGUAAUCAGUUGUUUCUUUGCCUCUUGGAUACCAAAAUUAUUCCAAAUAAUAUUUCGCUUGCAUCACAGACACAUUUCCCAACCUACAUUUUUAUAUUCCCAAUCAACUUUUUAUCUCACAUACAUCAUAUCACAAAAAAGUGUUACAGUAAUUAUUCCAAAUAAUAUUUCAAAUAAUACACUGUCCAAACAAACACACUGGCUGACAUAUAGGAUCAAAGAGCUGAAAUUAAAAAAAAAAAAAAAAAGAGAGUCUAAUCUUCUUUUAUUUCUACUAUGACUCCUUUUUCUUUUGGUAUGUAUUUCUUUCUAAAUAGAUAAUUUCUUAAGCAUUUGCUAAUCAUUUAGGAACCAAUCAAAUUAAUGAUCACAUAGUUAGUUGUUAUUACUUUCAUUUUCAUGUCUGACCAUCGAGAUCCUCCAAACAAAUGGGUCCCUUAACGCAUACUUGCACGGCAAUUUCGCUCAGAAAUUGUGUUGAAAUCGGAAUUCAUCACACGAUAAAUAUGCCAAAAUAAUGGAAAUUAGUAUCCGCAGGUGGUUAAAAACAAAAAAGGGGUCAGAAUAAAGAUGCGUACACCUUCAAAAUACCGCACGAAAUUAACACGAAGAAAUCCUGAAUUUUAUGCUAAAGCAGAGCCAAAGCAGCCAAAAGCAAAAUCAAAAAAAUGCAGAGGAAAAGCUGUGGUCCAUGAUUGGUUAGAUGAGCCCACAAAGCCACCACAGAAUCGUGUAGACCAUUCCAUUUCACAUUUGUCUACCGACACGUUUCAUAUACAUGUUUGUUUCCGGGGGCAUAACAUUAAUUAAAAGAUAGAAAAAAAACUACUCGAUACUAAUUUAACAAGAUCUCGUUUGGCAUUGGUUCGACUUCGCCAAUUAGUCACGUUAAAUUUAAAUAAUAUUUUAUAAUUGAUGACUUUUAAAUUCGAUAAAAAAAUUUGUUUCGGCAAAUAAUUAAGUCAAAUUUAGAUAAAAGUUUAGACUCGUUAAAAUAAUCAAACAAAAUUGAAUACUGAAGUGUUCGACUUUAACUUAACGAAGCUUGUUUGCACGCCUACCAGUAGAUGAGAUUCAUUGAUUGAAUCUAAAGAAAAGGUUUGAUACGAGUGCAAAAGCGUAGCGUAGAAGGCAUUGAAUAAUUGAUGAACUGAAAUAAGCCGGAUAUCUUUCCUUGUUCAGUUUCGAGAGCUUACACAUUAUUAAUAGAUACACGCUUAGAAAGAGCUUAGAACUUGUUUGGACAAUAAGUUUUUGUUCCUUCAAAAAAAAAAAAAAAGCUUUUGUUAAAAAAAAAUACUGUAAUGUAUAUGAGGUAAAAAAAAGUUAUUAGAAAAUAUGUCCAGAGAUUUUUUUCUUUUUUGCGAAAAUUCAGAAUUCAAACAAAGGCAUUUCAAAACUGGUUCUUGUAGCGUAAGAUUUGCUAUGCUUGGAUAUUAAUUUUUUCUAAAAUAAUAUUUCGCUUGCAUUAUACACAUAAUUUUCAAUCUUUUUUUUUAUAUUUUCAACUACCUUUUUAUCUCAUAUACAUCACAUCACAAAAAAGUGACACAGUAAUUAUUUGGAAUAAUACCCUAUGGCCGCGAUAAUACUCUAUCACACCUUUUUUCAUCUUUACAACUUCCAUUACGAGUUUGUCAAGCAUAAUAGAAAGAUAUUCAAUGCAUCUGCCGUAUUCCAUUUUAUAGCACAACAAGAAGUCAAUCUGUGGAUAAAAUCCUUCUAAAGCUUCAGCCAAACAUAAUUUUACAACCUUGACGUCACUGUUAAAGUUACAGAUAUUUAAAUUUUUUUCCCCAUUGAGAGGGUGUUUUGAAUAAGAGAUUUCUAGCGACAAAACGACAGAGAAUCCCAGAAAAAUGGUUUUUGUACAGUAAAAACCCAAAAUACAAAAAUUUAACGGUCUGCUUGGUGCCACAUAAUUUGAAGGAACGUGUCAAAGUUACGGCUGUUCAUGCUUGAUAUACAAGAGAAAUAUCAAGCUCAUCUUAUGGAUUUAAUACAAGAGAAAAAAUAAUAAAAGGUACUGAUCUCAUUCCUCAUUCUUCAAUGACUUGCCAUCUUUUUCAGCCAUCAAUCAUCCCUUGGAUGAAUUUUCCUCAUAUUGCGGCCAGGUAAGGAAGAAUGUAGAAUUUCAGCUUGGCCGAUGCAAGACGCUAUUUUUGGUCCCCGAAAGGCACUAAUUUUCUCACCUAUUUGAUCCUUUUAUGAAAAGGCUGCGUAAGCGCUAUCCAAAUGCUGUAACAGAUACCUUUUCUUAGUGAAAAUAGCAGAAAAGAUUCCUUCAAGAAAAAAAAAAAGAAGGCACAAAAGAUGGGGAAAGAAACAACUCGUUCCAGCGUAGCUUGUCCUUGGCAUAAUCCUGAUCUUUUCUUUUUAUCUCUCAACUACUAGAAUCAAUAUAUUUGAACCCUAAACUUAGUAGCGAAGGAAACUCUAAAAAUUCUGUUCUGACCACUGAAUCACUGAACCAGCUCCAGUGAUACUAAUUAUCCUAUCUCAACUGCUAAGAAGAUUUAUGAAAGAAUCAAAAUUUGACUCCCAAAUUGUACAUAAGGCCUGAGAUUUGGGUGGUCAAGACUUACACUGUGAGAGACCAUAUCAUCUACAGUAAAAUUUUGGUGGAGGAAAGACCAAGUUUGAAUUUAUUACGGGGUAGAACUAAAAAUUAAACAGAUUUUAAGGCAUUCAACUCUGAUUUUCAAGCUCUUGGGGGGCUUGCCAUCGAGCCAUGGCAAAGUUGGAAACAAGAUCAGAAAUAAAAACCAGUAAGAUAACACGCUGAAGAGCUACGUGUAACAUGAGUUUUGCUGUGCAUGUGGAUGAGUCUCAGUCGCAAAUCUGAGUAUCCUAACACGUGUACAUCUCUAAUCACAUAUAUAUGACAAGAUUUUAGACACGUUAACGCUUUACAGGUAGAGGCAAAUUGAGAGAAAGAGAGGCAAAAAUGGAGUCAACUAAGGAGAGAAGAGAGCAGGUGGAGAAGGAGCAAAGGGAACAAAAGGGAGGUGUUGAUCCAAUAGCCAAGGCUAGGGAGGUACUUCAAGAAGCUGUCAUCAGCAAAGAUGAUGGAAAGGCUCAGGGCGAUAAUAAUGACGAGAAGGAAGCAGCAAAAGACCCUGAUGACAUUUUGGUUUUUGCUAGAGCUGUUCACCACACUGAUUCCUCGCUUGAUUGAUAUAUAGCUAUCACAAGUAUCUAUGAAGUGUAAAUGAGACGAAGAGGGUUUUAGAGGUGACUGGCCAGUCUAAGUUACUGUACAAUUUUCAGUUUGUUUCAAUAUGUGAGUUGGAAAUCACAAGUUUAAAUUGUUCUUCUCAUUCUUGAUUCUUAAUUCUUUACGGAAAGGAGAGUAGCAAAAGCAUGACAGGAUUGAUUAUGCACAACAUAAUUUUGGGUCGGAAGGAUACUGCAGAUGUUAAAUAUUCACUCCAGAUUUGCGAGUUGCAACCAUAUAUCACCUCAGAGAUCUAAGCCAAGAAAAGAUUGUUCCAUAUGAAAAAUCGAAAAAGAGUCUUAAUUUCUCCAAAUUUCUCCUAAAUUUACCAUAAAAUUCACUAUAAUUCUAUGCUAACAUGAAAAGUUUUUGUUAUUUGUGAAAAUGGUUGUUCUCAGGUCCACUAUUGGAGAAUUAGAAUUGAGAGAAAGGUGGAAGGGUGUUUCUUUCAUCGAAUUUGUAACUUGCCUGGUACAUCUUCUUAGUUAUCGG